rnacentral:lncRNA from 1 species
GAUGAGAGGGUGGCCCCGUGGGUUUUCUGGGAAAGCUUUGGGUUUUUGGAUUUUUGCAGAUUUUGCAGAUUCACGGUGGAGGUGAAAAAAUGAAAGAGAACCGACAUAGUUUUUUGUGUCGUUUCCCACAGACGGCGCCAAAUGUUGAUGCACAAAACCGAAGGUCUUGGAACAACGUAAAUCUGACCGUGAAUUUGCAAGAAAUGUAAAUAACACAAGAUGUAUCGUGGUUCACCUCAAGGUUUGGGCUAUGUCCACACUGAUAUUGUAUUUAUCUGAGAGGUGAGGGAGAGAAUGUGAGAGCCUCUGUAAUGAGAGUGAGGCUUUGACAAGGGGUGAGAGGGCCUAGGAAUUGGCCUCUUCCAAUUGUGAGGGUGAGGAGUCCUUUUAUAGAAUAAGGGCUCCUCACUUAUUACAUAUCUGCCCCUUCCUUUAUUACAUAAUUACAUUUAAGUCCCCCGAGUAUUUAUACGAGAUCUAAAUACGGAGGCCCUAAGUAUGGUACAAACAAGUUCCAUUCUCAUUCAAAAGGAUGAUAAUGUCAAACGGCUUGUGUACUACUCUAGCAAGGCCUUACAAGAUGCAGAGACACGAUACUCCAACAUUGAGAAAUUGGCUCUAGCAUUGGUCAUGUAUGCUCGAAAACUUCGCCCUCACUUCCAAGCACACUCCAUCAUCGUGCUUACCAAUCAUCCUCUUCGACAGAUACUCCAAAGUCCUGACACUUUGGGGUGAAUGAUAAAUUGAGCGAUAGCAUUGGGUGCGUUUGACAUCUCCUACCAACCAAAGCCAGCUGAGAAGGGCCAAGCAGUGCCGGACAUCGUCGCCGACUUCACAUAUCCUGUUAACAUUGUUUCUACAACUAAAGAAGUUGUUUCAUUACCCUUGGAUGCUCAGAAAAUAGAACCAAUAGCCCUAGCAUGGAGUCUAUAUGUUGAUGGCUCAUCCAACCAACAGGUUUGUGGAGCAAGACUAGUCCUUACGACCCCUGAUAAAGUGGCGAUGGAGUAUGCUAUUCGUUUCAAAUUCAAGGCAUCGAACAAUGAGGCCGAAUAUGAAGCCCUCCUAGCAGGCUUACAUUUGGCCAAACACCUUGGGGUUAAACGAUUUGAUAUCUUCAGUGACUCCUAAUUGGUGGUUAACUAGGUCACCAACAACUUUGACGCUAAUGAUAGCUCCGUGGCAGCAUAUCUAGCAUAAACACAAUUGUUGCUCAAGCACUUCCACUACCAGAUCACCUAUAUUCCUCAAGCGGCAAACAGUUAUGCAGAUGCUUUGGGUUGCCACACCUCAGCAGUGGAAGACAAGAUUGGGAGAAAAAUUCAGGUCAAAUUGUUGGAUUAUCCCGAUUUAUAGAUUCCUUGCUCAUGGCACCCUUCCAAAUGACAAAGUCCAAGCUAAGCAGAUUCGAUACAAGGCUAACCGUUACUUGAUCAUUAAUGACGAACUCUACAAGCAGGGUUUUAACGUACCAUACCUAAGAUGCCUUACGCCCGCAGAGGUGGAAACUGUCCUUCGGGAAAUAAAUGAUGGAGUCUGCGGAAAUCAUGCUGGAUCUCGAUCCCUAGCACACAAGGCUUUUCGCUAAGGAUAUUACUGGCCAAAUCUCCACCAACAUGCCAUCAGAAUAUCCCUCUCAUGUGAUAAGUGUCAAUGCUACGUAACUAUUCCUUACUCCCUUCCCGAGCUGCUCACUCCUAUGAUCAGCCCUUGGCCCUUGGCCCAAUAGGGACUUGAUUUGAUCAGCCCAAUGCUUGCAGGGAAGGGCAAGGUUUACUAUGCAAUCAUUGCAGUUUACUACUUCACAAAGUGGGCCGAAGUAGAACCCUUGGCAACCAUUAAUAAGGCAAAAAUAAAAGACUUCAUGUGGAGGAACAUCCUUUGCAGAUUAGGCAUUCCCAAUGCGAUAGUCACUGACAACGAACGACAGUUCGAUAACAAUAAGUUCAAGAUGUUCUUCUCUAAGUUCAACAUUAACUUAUGUUUUGCCUUCCUAGCUCAUCCCCAGUCUAAUGGAUAAGUUAAAGCCAUCAACAAAAUAAUCAAGCGAACUUUGAAAACCAGCUUGGACAAGACUAAAAUUUGUUGGCCAGAAUUUGUACCCUAAGUUCUUUGGUUAUAUCGCACUUCGUAUCAGACAUCAACUGAAGAAACCCUAUUCUCACUUGCUUUUGGUACAAAGGCAGUUGUCCAACUUGAGCUUGAGCAAGCAACGUUCCAAGUCCAAAACUACGUGCAAAGCGAAAAUGACAAACAACUUACCCUCAACUUAGAUCUAGUCGAGGAACACAGAAACCAAGCUCACUUGAGGAAUGUCGCCUACAAGCAGCGCAUCUCUAACUACUAUGACUGAAGGGUCAAACCUCGCUCUUUCAAAGUGGGGGACUAGGUAUUAAAGAAAAGAUUACUCUGUGACAGAGUCCCGAGUGAAAGAACACUUAGUCUAAACUGGGAUGGACCGUUUGAAGUUGUUGGCAUUAGUCACCCUGGCUCCUACAAACUUAGAAGCUCCAAUGGCAAAACCCUUGGCCAUCCAUGGAACGCUGAUCACUUGAAGUACUAUUACAAGUAAACUCACAUUGUACAAGUGUUAAGCUUCAGCCGUUCGACAUCCUAUGUAACAAAGACUAUUUGGCAUGAAUUCAAUAAAGAGGUGAUUUAGACAAGUCGGUCCUAAUCCUCUUACAUUCCUAGCAAUGAAACACUCAGGUUCAAAGCUUCAACAUGAAUGCUUCCAACAUGAAACAAAGUCUAAGUAUAUGUCAACAAGACUAUACAAAUAAACAAAUAGCUUCAUAGUAUAUUCGUUCGAUCAUACAUUCCAACACAUUCAUACAUAAGCCAACUGUGCUUCGAAAGCGUUCAACAUACUUUGUGUCAUUUGACACUUACUACAAUGUGCCUUGACACCUUGCCCUUAUUCUCACCAACUAGGUGAUGAAAUGUGAAGAAGGAACUCAUCUUCAUGCCACCAACCAGGUGAUGAAAUGUACAACCCGUGCUCUCCUUCAUGCCACCAACCAGGUGAUGAAAUGUACAACCCGUACUCUAAUAUUAUUUGGCAACUUGCCACUCAUGCCACCAACCAGGUGAAGAAGGAACUCAUCUUCAUGCUACCAACCAGGUGAAGAAUUAACUCAUCUUCAUUCUACCAACCAGGUGAUGAAAUGUACAACCCGUACUCUCCUUAAUGCCACCAACCAGGUGAUGAAAUGUACAACACGGCCAGGUGAUGAAAUGUACAACUCGUACUCUUUUUCAUGCCACCAACCAGGUGAUGAAAUGUACAACCCAUAAUCUAAUAUCAUUUGGCAACUUGCUAUUCAUGACACCAACCAGGUGAAGAAGGAACUCAUCCUCAUACCACCGACCAAGUGAUGAAAUGUGAUGAAAGUUGAUGAAGGAACUACAACUCGUAGAAAGCUUCACACACUCUUGAUCUAGACUGUUCGAAGCAAAUUCAAUUUAUAUGGUUCAUCCAAACCUUCGACUACUACAAAGUGUGGCUUGCAUCACAAUCUCUUGCUCAAUAGUGUGGAAGAAAAAUUUGUAUAUGUUGUCUCUCCCAUAUUUUCAAAUUUCUAAUUUUCCCAAAAAAAAAAGAAAUUGGGAAAUUCAACAAAGCUUCAUCAAUGAAGGACAACUACAAAUUCUCAAAAGCUUCACACAAUCUUGAUCAAGAUAGAAAAUUAAUUCAUGGUAACCAACAAAGCUUCACCACAAAAGCUUCGCCAACAAAAGCUUUAUCAAUAGAGGACAACUACAAAUUCUCAAAAGUUUCAUACUAUCUUGAUCAAGAUAGUGUGAAGCAAAAUCAAUUCAUGGUAGCCAACAAAAGCUUCAAGUCCAAAGCUUCACCGACAAAGCUUAAACUCCAAAGCUUCAACAUAAUCAAAGGCCAAAAGUCAUGUAUACAAUGGGAAGUCACGUCACAUUGAGGGAAUGUAGUCAGAAAAUCUGUGUGAAAAUAGAGAGUAUAUCCGAUGAGGAAUUGAGGGAAUUCUCUAAGGCAUGUUAUUGCCAUCAAAACCAUGUUUUAAAUUGAUUAAAUGCGAGCUAGUGAGUUGUGACUACGAUUAAGUAUGCGCUCGAGGGUAAGGAUAGCUAAAAUCUAUGCGAGUGAUGAUCUUUGGCAUGUUAUGUUUCAUUGGAAAUCCUUGAGGCAAAUGUUGGAAAGAUUAGAGUGUGUUUUGUUUCCGUUGUUUUAUUUUGUUUGUUUCGUUUUGCUCGAGGACUACCAAAAGCUAAGUGUGGGGGAAUUUGUUAGGAGCAUAUUUAUGAGACUUAGUUAGCUUGUUUUCUUGCAUUUUCAUAGUUUGUUUGUGUUUAUUAGGUUGGAAAUUUGAGUAGUUUGAGUAGAAAUUUCUUUGUCCCACAUUGGCCAUUCCCAAAAGAUUUUAUCACUUUAUAAGGCUUUGUCCUUUAUAAAAAGUGAUUGGAGUAAUAGGCCUGGAGACUAAAAUUGGACUCACCCUUGGGGUUGGGCUUUGGGGUGUACUAAUUAAUUGGUAAUUAAUAUAUAUUUAAUUGUCAAAUGAUGGGCCUUGGGCCUUGGGGCUCUUGGGCUCUAAUAAUUAAAUUAAUUAAUUAUUUUCGGAAUUAAUUAAUUUUUAAUUUCGAAUUUAAAUUAAUUAAUUAUUUUUACCAACAGACUCAUCUUUUCAGAUGAAGUCUGAAGUGUGAAAACGCAGAAACAAAACACCUUUUUCAGCAGAUGUCUCCCAACAGAUGCAUCCCUUCCUUAUACCAGUUGCGAACAGGUAUAAUCACAUUAUAUAUACAUCCAUCUGCAUGGCAUUUAGAACACAAAAAAAAAUCAUAAAUCUUCUUCUGCAAUCAUAAACAUCCUUUCUGAGAGAACCACAUGAAUAUUCACCAGAAGUCAAUUUUCCGGUGUUGGAAUUUCUAACUUAGAUCGGUGAAUCCUGGUGAAGCAGACGUCCGUAAAACUAUAAGCACUGAGUAGGGGCGAAAUUUCUAUUUCAAGGACAUUGCGGUACGCAAGCCUCGAUCUUUUGUUACUCUGCUUAAUUAAUAUUUCAUCUUGUUGAGUCUCUGGAAUAUAUUUAUUCGUAUUUAUUAUUAGCAAAUUUAUUUUAUUGCGGAUUGUUGACAUAUAUCCAACAUAUUAUAGUGUUUUAAGCUAUUUUCGUGUGUUUGUAGGUCCAAAUAACAAAGUUGGCAAGAAAGUGCAUUUUGGAGCAUUUUGGAGCAGUUUUGGGCACUAAAUGGAUCGCACAUGUAUGGGCCAAGGUGGAUGGACGUUUUUGGAGUUCAAAAGGCUAGGAAUAUGAUAAGGAGAUGAAGAAAUUAAAUUCAAGACAAAGAAGAUAAGGAACCAGCAAGAAAGAAGGAACAUUAUCCAAACUACCUUAUCUUAUCGAAAUUGUAACUAACCUUAUCUUAUCUUAUCCUAAUCCUAUCCUAACUUAAUUCCAGCUGCAUGGGGGAUUUAUUUUCAGAUUAGGACACAUUAAGAUAGGUUUCUAGAAGCCCUUAUCCAUUCCUACAAAGGUGCCGCACCUUAUCCCUUGUUUUUCUAGGAAUCAGCCACAAAACAACCUUUCUAGAAAGCCUUAUCCCUUGUCCUACAAAUCUGGCGCUUGGACCCUUUUUAGAAGCUCUAGAACCUGUAAUCCUUUUCCCUUAGGAUUGUGCAAUCCUUUUCCCUUCAGAUUUGGGUGAACCCUAGUCCUUUUCCUUCAUGAAUUGUGCCAAAUACACAUUCCUUUCCUUCAGAAAUUUGUGGGUUUCCCUAGCCUUAUAAAUACAAACCUUUGUGCAGCAAUUAAUCGACCACCCUCUACCAUCAGACCACUACACUAUCCACCUUUUACCACAAAUUCGUCCUUAACAUCCAUUAUCCCCAAAACUACCAACCACACCUUGUGCCGCAGCAAGAAGGAGAAGGAGAGCCCUUGGACGUGCUUGCCAUUCGAGUUAGAGUUGCUGAAACAUUUUAGGUGUAAUCUUUCUUUUGCUUUCAAUGUUUAGAUUCAAUAAUCUUUGUUUUGUGAGUAUGAGGAACUAAACCCCUCUUAGCUAGAGGGAAUUUUGAAACCAUGAUUAUACUUGCAAUAUGAUUUGAUUACCUUCAGUUGUUAUUUCAUAAAUUGUGAAUUCAAUUUGCUUAACUUUUUGAUUGAUAACUUAUUCUUCUAUGUUUAUUAAGAGUGCACGCUUAGUUUUCAUGCAGGGAUUUGAAGCUAAAAUAUAAGGGAGUUUCACUUAAUAGUUACAAACUUAUAUUUACAAGUAAUGGAGGUCGCUUAUAAACGAUCGUGUUAAGUGAAUUCCUGGCAUACGUAUCAUGCGCUUUCAUAGUUACGAAUACCUUGUCAACACUUAUGAUUUUCAUAGAACUUAAUGACCUUUGAUUGUUUCUCUACUAUGCGCUUUCAUGUAGGGAACUUUUGAAGAAUAAUUUGAUUGCGAUGCGCCAUUUCCAUUCAAUUCAAUGACUUAAGGAAAAUCUGAGGGUUAAUUUAAGCGUACCUAAUUAACUUGGGGUGUUGAGGUUCAUGGUUCAUCGAAACAGCAACUGGAAAUAGUUUUGUAUGCAAGUGUGUCAAGUGUGGAGAAAGACCUUCUAGCUAGCCUAUCAUCCAUCUAAUUCACCCAGUUUCGUCUAAAAUCUGUUUAAGUCUUUCUUGUUUUGUUUUAUUUUAUUUUCGUCCAAAUCCAAUUUCCCCUUUACUUUGUUGAGAAAUAUUAGUUAGAACUUGUUUUAGAUUGUGUUUUUAAGUGUUUUGAGUCAAGGAAAACCUAAAUUUUGUCCAGAAAGUGUGUUAGUGUCAGAAACUGCUUAGUUGCUAUUUUUAGGCAGUUUUGAGUGUUUUUAGCUUACUUUGAGUCUUGUGAACUUGUUUUGAGUCUUUUGAGUCUAGCCAAACGUUUUAAGUUUAUUUUUGUGCUUUUUUUAGUUAUUUUAGAGUGUUUAGCAAUCCCUCCUAAUCCCCGGUUUAAGAACGAUCCCUACUUAUUUAUAUACUACAAUUGUCAAAGAGGGUUUAAUUUGUGUGUCAAGUUAAUUUUCACAUCAGAGCCCCAGAAAGAUGAGGCACCAGAGGGUGAUUAUUAAGAGCCUCAGUACUGGACAGAACCCCAGAAGGAUGAGGCACCGAAGGUUGAUCAUUUGGAGCUUUAUUAUGCGGUACAACCGUAGAAGACAAAGGCAAUAAAUGCCUUUGGAACAAACCCACAAACCUCUAAUGAUCAAGUAAAAUCUGACCAUCAAAUUCCUGCAGCUGGUUAAGCUUCCUCUUCAUGUUUGUAACAUAGUCAUGUGCGAGCAUGUGCAACUGCUUAUUCUCAUGCUUGAGCCCUCUGAUCUCCUGUUUGAGACUUAUCACUUCAGCCGCCAAUGAUUCAACUUGGCGGGUUCGAGGAAAUAGGCGUUGGGCCAUAUUAGACACAGAACCUACACACUGAACACUGAGAGCCAGAGAAUCCUUAACAGCCAACUCAUCAGACCGUUUGGAAAGUAGUCUGUUAUCUUUGGGAGUGAGAAGGUUCCUGGCCACCACCACAGCGAUCAUAUCAUUCUUCAUCACAGAGUCCCCAACGGUAAGAGGACCAAUAGGGGAUAAGAAGGAUGGACGCCAUAUGUUGUCUCAAGAAGGCAUGGCUGCCUCUUCACCAAAGUUCAAGUCAAAACGACGGUCGGAUGGGCCAGACAUUCUCAGAAAUGAUGAAGGAGAAAUAAUGUGCAAUAAAUCUCUGAAGUACAAAAAUAAGGGGAAAAUUCCUGCAAGCAAUAACUCUUUUAAGGUACUUCUUGCACACAAUUGGUGCCCCUAUAAAAGAAAGGGCAACAAGGCCAUUGGUUCAAAAAUCGAAGAGGCACCACUCCCCGGAUUUCGAGAAGUAGAUUUUCCUAAAAUAUGUCGACAAUCCCCACACGCAACAUCAGCUCCUCAAUUACCACAGAUAACUUUGCCAAAGAUCUCUGACAAAGUUUAGACACAUAAAUUUUGAAGGUCCAACUACCCUACCAUUACCCACAAGGGUAAAGGAAUAGCACCACUGCUUGAUAACUGGAAAGUCCCUGUGUGUGUCAACCUCCGUGCUUCGUGGCAAGGCAGACUGACAAAAAUGCCCAACCUUUACUCACAUCGAGAAAACACUCCCAACAUGAUUACUUGCUCAAAAAUCGAAUCAGCACCACUCCCCGAAUCUCGAGAACCAAACUCCCACCAGGAUUGCUUUCUCAAAAAUCGAAGAGGCACCGCUAUCCGACUCUUGAAAGCUAGACUCACAAUAGGAUUGCUUUCUUAAAAAUCGAAGAGGCACCGCUCUCUGAAUGUUGAGAGCCAAACUCCCAACAGGAUUGCUUUCUCAAAAAUCAAAGAGGCACCGCUCUUCGAAUCUCGAAUGCCAGACUCCCAACAGAAUUGCUUUCUCAAAAAUCAAAGAGGCCCCAUUCUCUGAAUCUCAGGAGCUAGGCACCCGACAAGAUUGCUUUUUCGAAAACAAAAGAGGCACCGCUCUACAAACUUCGAGAGCCAGAUUUCCUUGGUUAAAGCUUGUCUGCAAUCUUCACACGCAACAUCAACUUUCCAGAUACCACAUACCACUUUUUGAAAGUGCUUUGACAAAGUUAAAACACGUGAAUCUUACAGCUCCUACUACAUUGCUAUGACCGAGAAGGGUAAAGGAACAGCGUUACAACUCGCUGUUAGGACAAUUCCUAUAUAUGUCAACCUUCAUCCUCCACAGCCAGGCAAACCUACAAAUAAAAAAAAAAGCUCAACUUUUCUUCACAUCCGAGAGGGCAUUCUCAGCAGAGUUUUUCGAAAUACUCAGCUUAUUUUCCCCCGAUAAUACCUCUACAAACAAGCCACACCAGAGCCAUAGUAUCUCAUAUCAUCAGGGUUAAAAGCAAGAGUAUCCCAUAUCAUGCUUUUCCCCUAUCUUUUCCUUUGGCCAUGUUCUUACUUGCAAGACAAGGAGAAAGAAAGCAAUCAGUCAACACUUGGAAUCAAGCUUCCAGUCAGGAACUGACUACCUGGAAAUCCUUGCCUGAUUACUUACCUGGCAUUGCUCUCGAGUACUUAUCUUCAACAUCUUAUGCUUCCAGAAAAGAUACCACAUCUGCCUGAGCAACAGAUAUGGCAAAUGAAAAGGAUACAAGGAAGCAUGUGGAGACAAGUGCAACAGAACAUGUGCCGAUUCAUCUAUUACUUUGUCAACAGCAAAAGUAUCCUAUAUCAUUAAGGUCGAACGCACUCUUGAUUUGAUGGACUUGUUUUAAUCCUUAAAUUCUUGAGUCGACCUUAUACUCUGGAGGAAACCAGAAAACCCUCCAGCCCAGUUCAAGAAUAAGCCUGUGGAAACUUACUUCUUCAAAAGAAAAAGUAUCUCAUAACAUCUCUUCUCAUUUUUCUUCUCCUUAUCCUUCCUGCUACCUACAAGAUAGGGAGAAUGAGAACAAUCAGCCAGAACUUGAAAUCAAACUUCUGAUCUGGAAUGAUUGCUGGGAGCUCUGAUUGCUUACCUUGUUUGUCACCUCUUUCGGCGAAUCUCCUAGCUCAGUGACUUGGGGGACUCCUACUAAAUGGUUUGUAUCACGCUUGACCAAGCUGGAAACUACAAGUAAGCUUUAAGUGAAAUUGAUACAUUACCUUGUGCAUCUCUCCACCGGUUAAAUAUACCACCUUUGGAUGGAGGAAAAGUAUUUCCAGAGAAGAUGCCACAUCUACCUAUGAGACAGAUAAGGCAAGUGAAUGAAGGAUGAUUUUGUGAAAACAUGUUCAUUUGAAUAACAUCUAUAGCAUGCAAUUAACAAUUAAAAGGCGGAAUCAUGCUUGCAUGCAUUCCAAAACAAAACAUUACCCAUGAAAUUCAAAGCCUAGUAGAUUGGUGAACCAAGACUCAACUCAAAAUCAAAGUGAGUUGAAAUUUACCUUUGUAGAUUCCUCUUUGCAUAAGCAAAGGCUAAUCACCCAAAGAGAGGGCCUUCAUUCCUUGCAUCUAAAAUCUAUGGAUUUGGAUGGAUGAAAAGGUUUCUCCAAGUUCCCAAAAUUGAAACCUCUAAGUCUCCACACCAAGGAGAGAUUGGAGAAGAAAUGAGUGACCUUGGAGUAGUGGGAUUGCUAGAUGCACCCUCCAAGGGGGGCCGGCCUCCUAGAGAGAAAAGGAGAGACAUGUUCUCUCCAUUUUCUCCAAAAGAACCCUUAAUGAAUUUAGGCUAUAAAGUCCUUUAUAUAGUCACUUCAAAUAAGUGACCUAAAGAACCAAAGGCCAUUCUCUCUAACAUGGCCGGCCAUAUAGGGAAUUUGGGCUUUUGGGCCUUUGUGAAUCUUUAUUCAUUAAAUUUUCAUACAACUUAAGUCAAUGGGCUUGACGUUCGAAGCCCAUUGGGCUUUAAGGUCCAAAAAUAUCCUGAGGUCUUUAAUGAACUUAUUCGUUUGAUUAAUUAACAUAUUAAUUAAUCCUUGCCAUAAAUAAUUAAACCAUUUAAUUAUUCUUACUCAUCUCCAUUGUUUCUUCAAUCUUCACCUUACACAGUGUACGAUCCAUUAGGUUCCUUUUAGCGAGGCAGUGGGCGAUUAAAACCAUUUCACAUCGAUUGUGAAUUGAAACUUACUUUCAAUUCUCCCUUUAGUGAUUAUACACAUUUAGGGCUUCCACAAACCAUGAGUGACACCUAGCAGCAUAUCAUGGUUACCCAAGCUAAUCAGAAGAGGUGGAGAACCUAUUCAGUUUAGGAUUACAAAUGCAAUACGGUCUUUCUCUAAUACAAUACUCUUGAUCACAUUGUUUGGUUUGAUAGUUUAUUUAUUCAUGUCUACUAUCCAAUGUGAUUUGUGUGCUUAUAUGAUUACCUUGAAUGUGAUUUGGAACGACUUCCUAAAUCUCAUUCAUACUCUGGCCAGAGAUUCCAAAUCAUAUCAUAGAGUAUUCUCCCUCAAACGGUUGAAGGUUAGAGAUCCCUUGUUGCACAUUCACUUGUCUCCAUGGCUAAGUGGCUUAACCCUAACGAUGCCGUGGACACCCUCCAAAUGGAGUGAAUUUGACAUAAUCAAAGAUCAAGGACUUAACCACAAGACAACUGUGAUACCUCAGGUCAAAGGACUACUUUGCAUUAUCCCAACCAUGAGUUCUCAUGUGACAUGAAUAUGAGAACUCUUCGUUGAUCGUGUUCAGUGAACUCAUUCUCUAUUGAGCACCUACGUACUUGUCUUGAUGUCACACACACCAAUGACUCGAGACUAGUCACUCUCCCUGAGAGAAGACGCAGCACGUACUGAUCUUAACGGACUGUCAAUGCCCAAUUGGCAAUCCUAUGAUCAUGAACGUUUAGGAUGUGUCUACGAAAGAAUGGUCUCAUGAAUCUAACUUCUUUAGAUUGCAUUCUCCCAAUCACAUAUUCCUUGGACUUUAUCGUUUAAGCAUAUAACAUUUAUAUGAGACGGCUCAAACAAUAAUCUUUGCCCUUUAUAUUUAAACUAGAUUAUUUUAACAUGUGAAAUGUCCGUAAAGUAUCAUCAUAUGAUGUUCGAAGUAUGCCCACAAAGCCACUCAUUUGAUGUAAUAGCUUUUUGGAAUACUUAUUGUAUUAAACUUUUAUAUGUUUAAUGAAGGGCAAAUCUUAUUGUUAAUCACUAUUUAUUGUAUCAUGUGUUUAAGCAAUAAGGGAAUCCAAGGAAUGUAUUUGUUCUAAGAGAUAAGUGAUCUAAUGAGUUAGAUUAUCGAGACCUUUCUCUUAUGUUCAUUCCUAAAACGUUCCUAGCCAUAGGAUUGCUAAUUGGGCAUUGACAAUCCGCUAAGGCUAGUAUGUGUUAUGUUGACUCAAUCGUGAGUAUACUAGUCUCAAGUCAUUUGGUGUUGGACACUAAGACAAACACAUAGGUGCUCGAAAGAGUACUCGAGUUCACUGAACGACGAUCAAAAGAGAGUUCGAACAUACAUGUCAUGUAUGAACUCUAAGGUUGCAAUAUGCAAAGUAGUCCUUUGACCUGAGGCAUCAUCGAUGUCUAAUGAUUAGGUCCUUGAUCUUUGAUCCUGUCAACGGCAUUCCUUUGGAGUGUCCACGGCAUUGUUGGGGUCAAGCUAUCUAGUCAUGUAGGCAUAUGAAUGCACAACAAGGGAUCUCUAACCUUCCAUGGUGGAGGGAGAAUACUCUAAGAUAUGAUUCUAAAGUCUUUGGCCAAAGCAAAUGAAUAUGACUUAGGAAGUUUGUUCCAAAUCAUAUUCAAGGGAAUCAUAUAGGAAAGUAUCACAUUGGAUAGUAGACACGAAACAAACUAUCACUUAAACAAUGUGAUUAAGAGUAUUGUAUUAGAGAAGGAUCGUAUUGCAUUGUAGUUGUAACUGGAUAGGUUCUCCAACCAAUUCUACUUAGCUUGGGUAAUCAUGAUAUGCUGCUAGGCGUCACUCAUGGUUUGUGGAAGCCCUAAUGGUUAGCAAACACUAAUCAACAAAAAGGGAGAAUUGAAAUGUGGUUUCAAUUCACAAUCGAUCGUUAAGAGUAACAUCGCCCACUGCCUCGCUAAAUAGAACCUAAUGGAUCAUACACCGAGUAAGGAUGUAUGUGAAGAAAUUAAAUGAGAUGGAUAAGCAAUUAAAUGGUUUAAUUGAAGAAUGGUCAAGAUUAAUUAAUUAGUUAAUUAAUUAUACGAAAGGUUCGUAUUGGGCUUAUAUGUUGGUUUUGGGUUUCGGGGCCCAAAAGCGUUUUGGUCCACAAGGCCCAUUAUGUUUAAGUUGUAUGACAACUAAAACAAAAUGGGCAAAUUAGCCCAAUAACAAAGGAUGGCCGGCCAUUAGGGUGGAUGGGGAAAGUUUGCUUAAUUACAAGUUUGCCACUCACCAAAGAAAAGGUUAUAAAUACAACUUUAUAGCUAUCUUCUAAUUAGGGUUCUUCUUCUCCAUUUUCUUCUAAGGAGGCCGGCCACUAAGGGGAGGGACAUCUAGCAAUCUCUUCUUUCCUUAGUCAUCCAUAUCAUCUUCACAAGAUACAUCCUUGGUGAAGAGACUUAGAGACAUCAAGCUUUUGGUGUUUUGGAGAACAAAUCCUUUUUCCUCAAAUCAUCAAAGGAGCACUACAGGGAGGAAAACACAAGGAGGAUUCAAGGAGCUUGGAGGUGACUUGAAGGCCCUCCACUUGGGUGAAUCCCUUGUGUAAUCAAGGAUGAGCUUCAAGGGUAAAGAAUCACUAAAUCUUUACUUCUCUUUAAUGUUGUUAAAGAGUUUAUUUUGGUUCACCAUAUACUAGGCUUUGAAAGUCAUGGGUUUUAUGAAUUGUUUUUGGAUGCAUGCCUACUUUAAAGUGUUAAUAGCUUGCAUGUGUAUUCAAAUGUUCAUACUUGUUCUUAGCUAGGACAAAAUUUUUCCUUCAUAUGAUUGGUUUUAGGGCACAUUUCCAACAGUGAAAACGAUACCACACUUCGGUACUCAGAAGUUUCGUGAUUACUCAGUGGCUUGGAUCUUGUAAGUCCCCAACCGAGAAGAUUCCCUCACUCGGGAACUUGGGGGAGCACUGUUUGUACCAUACUUGACCAAUCUCGAAACUACUGAGCACCGAUCAACGUUAUACCAUCAAGGACCCAGAAGAGUUUCCCUCCAACCAGGAGGUCAAUCACAGCGCGACACGUGUUGACAUCAGAAGCCAAUCAUAACACGACAUGUGUCAAUGUCAAAACAAAGCUAGAAACUCUCUUCUAUAAAAGGAGAUCAUUCUCCCACAAUAUUUCCUAAUGUCAUUUGUACUAAAUCAUUCACUAGUACUCACUAAAUGAGAGUUUGAACCUAUGUACUUGUGUAAACCCUUCACAAUUAAUGAGAACUCCUCUACUCUGUGGACGUAGCCAAUCUAGGUGAACCACAUACAUCUUGUGUUUGCUUCCUUAUCUCUAUCAAUUUCCCACACUAGUGACCGGAGCAAUCUAGCGAAGGUCACAAACUUAAUACUUUCUGUUGUACCAAAGUCCUCAUUGAUUUUGUGCAUCAACAAUUUUCAAUCCACUUUACUGUACUUUACUUAUGCUCUGAUGUCACGUGUGAAAUGGAUUUAUUCCCGCUCACAGCGCACUCUUGUGUUUAAGCACUUGUAGGUUUAAAUUUAUUUACAUAUUCCACAUCACCACACUUUAUGGCUUCGUCACCUUCCAGGUGUCGACCAACACAAUUUGAUUCGGAGUUCUAGUGGAGACUUCGGGUCGGGAUGUGUCAAUUUGGUAUCAGAGCACAAGUUGUGUAGUAUUGUGUUCAUCACACGCGUGAUGUAAGCAUUCUUGAUUCUUGCCACCUCGUCGAAUACUAAAAAUGUGUUAGUUUUUCCUAAGUUUAGGCAAUUUUGUCGACUUGUUGACGUUUUAGAAGAUCAUUUCGGUGAAUGCCUCUAAAUUAUAAGGGAAGAAGUUCCCUGCCAAGGAAAGAUGUAGAUUUGGGAUAAGUUGAUGGCCUUGAAGCAGGGCUACUAUAUUGAUACUUGUGUAUCUCAGGGGGAGAAUUUCCUAUCAAUUCCACUACUAUCUAGUCAUUUCUUCCAAUCUUUUUGAGUUAGGAAACCAUUGAUAGUCUUGACUCUUUGGCAGUUCCUGUUAAUGUUUUACUUACCAGAAUCUUUACGAAGUUUUAGUUCAUUGAAAUUUCCAGAAAUGUCUCACUGUUAGUAUGAUUUGAGUGUUGAGAAAGCUGUGAAGAUCUUUUUAGUUCAUGUCGUAAAGUGGUUAGUAGUACGUUUUGAGGAUGUAUACCUUUGGUGUCAUUUCUCAAAAUUUUACUUGGGAUGCCACCAAAUGUGAGAAGUAGAAAACAGCAUUGAUCCACCUCGUUAACAUCACAUUUAUUCUCCCUAUUUCUUAUUGAACAACUCCUAUAUCAAUUUUCCUUAUGACUUUUCGAACAAGUCCUACUUUAUUGGAAGAACUUAGUUAUUAAACAUUUCAUCUUGGAAAUCUCAAACCUAUAUGCAAAGGUGAAAGAUUGAGCUUCAGGAUCGUACCUAGAUUUUGGCAACCUCCUCAGAUAACAAUUAAAAACCGUUAUCCUCUACUUUGAAUUGAUGAUCUAAUCGACCAACUUUGUAACUCAAGUUUCCUUCUGUAGUUUGAAAAAUUCAUAAUAGUCUUGUAGACGACUAUUUCACCUAUUCUAGUAACGAGAUUAAAUUCUCAUAUUAUCAACAGUCGGCUUUGCAUCAAGUUCCUUAAAUAUUACCUUUGUGUAAAUUGAUACUUCUCCUGGGAGAUGUGAUUUUGUAAAUGAUAUUCUUUUCUUUUCUCCAAAAAGGUAGUAGCGGAAGAAAGUUGGAAUUCUCACAAAGUGUUGUGAAAUUCAAGACAAUUUUUGGUCUUGUCGACCUUAUUGACAAAUUGUUAUUGAUUUUUUUUUACAAUAGUGUUUUUUCUUCACUUGUCGACCAAGGUAAAUUAGUUUGGUUUGGGAUGUUAAUUAUGAAUGAAGUUUUGACAAAUGAACUGUUGUUUCACUUUACCUUUUCUUUACACCGUUUGACGACAUUGAUCAUUUGGACAUCCAUAAUGACGUGCUCUCUGAAUGUUUCGACUGAGUUGGGUCAGCAUGAUGGAGAAUCACUUAUACUUCUAUUCAUUACUAGAGUCAAGUGUUAUUAUCUUCUUUUGAAACAUCGGAUGACACUUCUCAAUGAGAACAUCUCUAGAACCUUUACUAACCUUAGCUUUCUCAAAUACAUCUUCAUUUGAGAUAAGCUAAGAUUUCUGAUAGUGAUGAUGGAAGAACUAAAUCAACUUCUACGAUUGCACUAUCAUGUAUUAUCCCGAUGGUGCAAAUGUAAUUACUAUUUAAUGUAGAAAAAGACAUAUGUAUACUUGAACACUUUCGGCCUGUCCUAUUCUGCCUCAGUUGGAAUUUACAGGUUUUAUUUUGACGUUACUUGCAAGAAAUCAAGAAAUGGUUUGAAUAAUUGUAAUCACUUCUUGUAUAUGUAGGGAGUUGGGAAGUAUCAUCAUACACUUUCAAUACAAGGUAUCUUGUACAUGUGAAAAUGAUGAUGAUGCUUCGAUGCUUAUAGAUAGACUUGGCAAGUCAAUCCAUUUUUUUGUAUUGGUACAUAGGGACUACAUUUUAGACCACUUGGUAAAAUUCCUCAUUCAUGAGAUUAUCAGAUUUCUCAGGCGUUUAGACUAGCAUCUAUUCUAAUGGGGAUUCCAUAUUCAUCUCUUUGUGCUAGAAGGUAUUCUAGUAAAUUUUGGGUCCAUGUCUACCCUACUACACUUUGUAUUAUUUUUUAAACCAGCAAAUCGUCUAAAGGAGUUGCUAGGACAUUGACAUUUAGUCGUGAACGUUAAAUUCUCAAUCACCCAACAAAUACUCUGCUAAACGAAUCUUAAUCGUUAGUGAUUGAAUGUUCUAGAAACUACAAUUGAAGUGAGAUGUCAUAUAUUAAUUUAAAUUACCUUAUAUUCUAGAUAUGAUGGACUUGUUUGACUUUCAAAUUCUUGAUUGUUUUUAUUGAUGUAGUUUUGCUAACUCGAGGGAAAAUUCAAUAUGAACUUGCUUACUAUGGUGUUAUGAAUUGCAUUGUUGGGUUAUGUGGUGUGUAUGUCGCUACUAUAUAUCACCAUGACAUAUGUUUCAUUUCUGAAUCUUGGGAAGCUUUCUUGAAGGUCGUAUGCAUUAAGCUUUCUUGAAGGUCGUAUGCAUUAGGCUAAAUGAAAUAUUCGGACAUUGAAGGACAUAUUGCUUUUGAAUAUUUUACAGUUUUAGCCAAUCAUGGUAAGCACUUACCCUAGUUAGAGUUAUUUGUGGCUACGGUUACAUUUCUGGUUUGGCUAUGGUAUUGUUUGAGACUUGGUAUAAAGAUUUUAUGCACUCAGCAUGUUUGAAAAAAAAAUGAUUAUUGCGAACAGGUACUUUGAUGAUCGAGAUUAUGAUAUAGAAAAAUUAUGAUUAUUGUUAAUGUUACUCGUGAGGGUAGUGCGUGAGCACGAUUGAGACUUAGAUCAACGAUGUAUAUAUAUUUCCCAAUGAGGAGCAAGAUGGUAAUAUUGCACCCUAGGGAAUUUGUUACUUGCUUAUUCAGUUGUUUGUAUUGCGGGCUGCAGACUGUAAUAUCAAUAACUUAUUCGUUGGGUUCAUUAAGCAAAUAGACAAGUAGGUCAUUCUAUGUUACCAUUUGUAUUUACUUAUUUAGUUAGUUAUUCAUUGUCUGGGCUCAACCCAAAGAUACUACAUGUUCAUCUUCGGGGGUAUGUAACGCAACGAGUGCGUAGGGAAAAAAAAUCUAUGUUUAGUUUUAAUUUUAGUACAAUAACUUUAUAAUAUUAUAUAUGUAUUUUGACAGAAAGUUGUUAUACAUAUAUAUAAAUAAUUUUGACUGUAUGUUUUAUAAAAGUAGUAUAGUAUAGUAUUGUGAUAAAGGAGAAGGAAAGUAUGAGUUUGGAGGCAUGAAAGAGGAAUCAUUGCACUCCGAUUGUGACAGAAUAGUAUUCUCUUUUAUGCAACCAUUCUAACUUGAUAUCUUCCUUACAUAUCUGUUUCUCUACUGUCCUUUCACUACUUUUGUAUAACUAAUGAUUUUAAAUUUCAAGUACGAAAUUUUUUUAAGGUGGGUAGAUUGUGACAUCUCGUCCCAAAAUCUUAAGUUUUAUAAAUUUUAAAGUAGUGAUUUUAUGAAAAUGCCCUUAAACGUGAGGAUGUUUGACUUUCCUUGACCGUUCGAAGUCAAAAUUAGUGUUUCCAAAUAGAUCUUGAAGCUACGAACGCAUAGGCAAAAAUCGUUUGUGAGUUCGGAUUAUAACGGUAUAGUUACAUACGUUUGAAGUUGAUUAUUUAAAGUUAGUUAAAUAAUUUGAGUUUCCAUUUUGUGGGAAGGAAGCCAAUCAGCUUUUAGCAAGGGAAUAAAGGACCAAUCAAUUUAAAUGGAACUAAGGACCAAUUAGAAAGGAGGAAAAGUAAAAAAAAGGGAGGAAAGCCUUCAACUUUCCCCUGACCCGUACAACCCACACACCCAACCCAAACAAUUCCGAUGAAUUUUGCCAUUUCUUCCAUCGAAUCAUGACCAUACAACACCUGUAACCUCAUAUACAACCUUCCCUCUUCCAUCUUCACCCAAAUUCAUGGGUUUUUAAGUCCAAAAUCACCAAGAACAAUGCCAGAGCACCGGAGGUGUUCGAAGUCGAUUUCAUCGUUCCGGUGAGUUUCAUACCCACCACCACCCUCAAUCAACUGCCUUUGGACCUAGGAACAUGACCGAACCAGUGGUAGAGACAUUGGAACACCAAGGUAGGAGAAUCGAAGUUCACCAAUUUUAGGGUUUCGGCGGGUUUGAGUGAAAUUGGAGCCUUUCUUGGCCAAAUUGGACUUUGCCAUAGGUAUAAAACUUGCUCUACCCUUUGAGAUCUUCAUUUUUGUAAAAUUUGAGAAUUUUUGGAGAUAGUUGAAUUUUUCGGCUAAUCGGGGCGCUCGACCGCCGUGUGCGGCGGCGCGUAAGCUGAGUCAUCCCUUGACCUUUCUAAGCUAAGUUUGAUACCCUAAUUCCAUUGGUGAAGUCCGAUUGAUGAAAUCUCAUCGUUUGAACAUAGUUUUGAUAAAGACCGCUACUUGAACAUUAUGUGAAUUGAUGAUUCGACCGUUGGAUCAUCACCAACCUUUCAUACAAUAUAUUAUUUAAAGGAUAUUAGAAACUUAUGGAUUGGAAAUCUGACAUACGGAUCUUCCCGAAUUAGAUUUGUAAGUUCGUAAAAUAAAACGUUAAUCGCCACUUGAAUUGGCAAUUGGUGGAGAUCCAACUGUUGGAUCGUAAUGAAACUUUAGUAUGAUGUUUAGAAGUACAAUCUGGAUCUUUGGAGUUACGAAAUGGAAAUCCAAGAUACGGAUCUUCUGGAUUGAGUUACAUAGGGUUGUGGGCCCUACUGUUGAUUUUUGACCGAUGGUUGACUUUUGGUCAAUGGGUCUCAAAACAUUCUAGAACGUCCUUGGGAUGUGUUUUAUGUAAGUUAUGUCUUCUAUUGAUAAGAGUGCUGAGACGUGACUGUAUACUUGUUUUAGGUGGGGAUCGUUCAUGAUGUCUCGAUAUUCAUGCUAGGAAGUCGUAGUGCGGACCUUAGGUGAGUGGGUCUUUUCCUUUUUAUCGUAUAUAUAUGAUUGAUAAUUCCACAAACACUUUUAAAUUGAUUUAUGCAUUUUAUGCCAUGUCAUGUAUAUAUUUAUAUAAUCUAAAAUACUAUGAUAUGGUUGAGUUUUAGAUUGCAUUAUGGCAUAUCCAUAUACAUAUUACCUACAUAUAAUUGAUGUGAAUGCUUUGAAGUGCUAAGGUGAACGCAGGACGCACAGGUAAGUUCAGGUGAGUAAAUUGUGUUAUUUGAAACGAUUGAUUGAUGGCAUGACUAUAUUUAUGUUUUAUGCAACUCACACAUUGUCGUACAAGUUGCAAUAAUAGGCAACUCCGACAUUGUCAUACAGGUUGGAAUAGUAGACAAGUCCGACAUUGUCGUACAUGUUGCAAUAGGCAACUCCGACACUGUCGUACAAGUUGCAAUGAUAGGUAACUCCAACAUUGUUGUACAGGUCGCAAUGGGCAACUCCAAUAGUGUCGGAGAGGUUGCCUAUGAGUCGUAUAGGUUGUAUUAGGUAACUCCGACUCAUGUGUUAUCAUAGAUUGAUUUAUGAGCCGUACAAGUUGCGUUAGGCAACUCCGACUCAUGGGUUAUUAUAGAUUGAUGAGCACCUGAUUUUAUUAUGUUGUUGCCGAUAUGUAAGGAUUUUGGAUUUUUUUGGAUUUAAUGUUGAUUUACAUUUGACGUCAUACUUAUAUGUAGUAUGAUUUCUUGGGAACUAUACAGGUAGUGCAACGAGGGGUUAUAUCAUUUAGAAGGUCUUUAUUAAAGCUUUAUACUCAGGCCCACUCACUCUUAUUUUUUUUUAUCCCUCCAGGUUCUAGUAGCAAAGUUUUUGUAUCAACGAGGAUUCGUGGCAAGUCUUGGUAUUGGAGAUUACCUUCGACAGUAUGAUUUUUAAUCCACUCUACUAUACUUUACUUAUGCUCUGACGUCAUGUGUGAAAUGGGUUCAUUCCCGCUCACAGCGUACUCUCGUGUUUAGGCACUUUUAGGUUUAAAUUUAUUCACAUAUUCCACAUUACCACACUUUAUGGCUUCGUCCCCUUCCAGGUGUCGGCCAACACAACUCAAUUCAGAGCCCUAGUGAACAAUCCUGGUAGGAAUGUGUCAUUCUCAUUACGAGUAUUAAUUUGAAAAUUUGUAUUUCAGGAACUUUACUUUUGAUUCAACCGGCAUACAGUCUCUUUUUAUUUUUAUUUUUGGCGCUAAUGAACGUUAAGGGAUGACCUAUAAUAUGUAUGAUUGGGUAAUUGGAAAAGAACUAAUGAACCCAUGAAGUGGGAUGAUAGUUUCUAAUAGCCCGUAUUAAUUCGAAAACUGUAUUUUGAGCACUUUUCUUUUAAUUGAACAACAAUAUAGUUUCACAUUCUUCUAAUUUUUGGUAGAGAUGACGUUUACGGGAUGACCUAUAAGAUGUGCAGUUGGAUAAUUGAAAUAUAACGCUUAAGCCCAUCGAGUGAGAUUACGGGUUCUCAGUAUCCGUAUUAAUUCGAAAAUCUGUUUUUCCGACCCUUUUCUUUUUCUUCAAGAGUUGUAUAGUUUUGUGUUCUUUUUAUAUUGAGCAAAGAUGAUCUUUCAAGGAUAAUCUAUAAGAUGUAUAGUGAGAUUUUUGAAAUAUGUUCCAUGGGUCCAUGGAGUAUGGUGAAGUGUUCUCAUUAAAUGUAUUAAUUCGAAAAUCUAUAUUUCAGGCACUUUUCUUUUAAUUCAAGAGUCAUAUAGUUUUGUAUUCUUCUUAUUUUUGGCAGAGAUGAUCUUGAAGGGAAGAUCUAUGACAUGUACAAUUAGAUUUUUGAAAUAUAAACAAUAGACCCAUAAAGUGGGAUGAUGUGUUCUCAUUACUUGUAAUAAUUCGAAAAUCCAUAUUUUGGGCACUUUUCUUUUAAUUCAAGAGUCACAUAGUUUCCUAUUCUUUUUAUUUUUUGUAGAGGUGAUCUUUAAGUGAUGACCUAUAAGAUGUUCAAAAAUCUAACUGUACAUGUCAUAGAUCUUCCCUUCAAGAUCAUCUCUGCCAAAAAUAUAAACAAUAGACCCAUAAAGUGGGAUGAUGUGUUCUCAUUACUUGUAAUAAUUCGAAAAUCCAUAUUUUGGGCACUUUUCUUUUAAUUCAAGAGUCACAUAGUUUCCUAUUCUUUUUAUUUUUUGUAGAGGUGAUCUUUAAGUGAUGACCUAUAAGAUGUACCGUAAGAAAAUUGAAAUAUAACCCAUGGACCCAUAGAGUGGAACGAUGGGUUCUCAUUACCCGUAUUUUGGGCAAUUUUCUAAUGAUUCAACAGUCAUAUAGUUUCGUAUUACUUUUAUUUUUUGCAGAGAUGAUUUUCAAGGGAUGACCAAUCAGAUGUAUGAUUGGAUAAUUGAAAUAUAGUCCAUGAACCCCUGUAGUGGGAUGACAGUUUGUAAUUAACAGUAUUAGCUUGAAAAUGUAUUUUGAGCCCCUUUCUUUUAAUUCAAUGGUUAUACAGUUUCCUUUUUGUUUUUUUUUUUAAUUUUUGGCAGAGAUGAUCCGGAGAGGAUGACCUAUAAGAUGUACUAUUGGAUAAUUGAAAUAUAACUCAUAUAUAUCUAGUGGGAUGAUGGGUUCUCAUUAGUCGUAUGAAUUUUUAAAUCAGUAUUUCAGGCACUUUUCUUUCAAUUCAAGCGUUAUACAACUUCAUAUUCUGUAUAUUUUUGGCAGAGAUGAUCUUUAUGGGAAGACCUAUAGGAUGUACACUUGGAUAAUUGAAAUAUAACCCCUGAACCCAUGGAGUGGGAUGAUGGGUUCUCAUUACCCGUAUUAAUUUGAAAAUCAGUAUUUCGAAAACUUUACUUUUGAUUCAACCGUCAUACAAUUUCACUUUAUUUUUAUAUUUGGCGGUGAUAUCGUUAAGGGAUGACCUUACAAGAUGUAUGAUUGGAUAAUUGAAAAAAGAACUAAUGAACCCAUGGAGUGGGAUUAUAGUUUCUAAUGACCCGUAUUUGUUCAAAAACUGUAUUUUGAGCCCAUUUCGUUUAAUUGAACAACAAUAUAGUAUCACAUUUUUUUAAUUUUUGGCAGAGAUGACUUUUACGGGAUGACCUAUAAGAUGUGUAGUUGGAUAAUUGAAAUAUAACCCAUAGGCCCAUUGAGUGAGAUUACGCGUUCUCAUUACCCUUAUUAAUUCGAAAAUCUAUAUCUCCGACUCUUUUCUUUUUCUUCAAGAGUCGUAUGAUUAUGUAUUCUUUUUAUAUUGAGCAGAUAUGAUCUUUAACGGAUAACCUUUAAGAUGUAUAGUGAGAUUUUUAAAAUAUAUCCAUGGACCCAGGGAGUAUGGUGAAGUGUUCUCACUAUAUGUAAUAAUUUGAAAAAUCUAUAUUUCAGGCACUUUCAUUUUAAUUCAAGAGUCAUAUAGUUUCGUAUUCUUUUUAUUUUUUAUUGAGAGGAUCUUGAAGGGAUGGCUAAUGAGAUGUACAGUUGGAUUUUUGCAAUAUAACUCAUAGACCCAUAAAGUGGGAUGAUGUGUUCUCAUUACUCGUAUUAAUUCGAAAAUUUGUAUUUCAUGCAGUUUCUUUUAAUUCAAGAGUCAAUAUAGUCUCCCAUUCUUUUUAUUUUUUGCAGAGGCGAUCCUUAAGCGAUGACCUAUAUGAUGAGUUCUCAUUACCCGUAUUAGCUUGAAAAUCUGCAUUUUGGGUAGUUUUCAAAUGAUUCAACAGUCAUAUAGUUUUGUAUUACUUUUAUUUUUUGCAUAGAUGAUCUUUAAGGGAUGACCGAUAAGAUGUAUGAUUGGAUAAUUGAAAUAUAGUCCAUGAACCCCUGUAGUGGGAUGACAGUUUGUAAUUACCAGUAUCUGUUUGAAAAUGUAUUUUGAGCCCUUUUCUUUUAAUUCAUUGGUCAUACAGUUUCGUUUUCAUUUAAUUCUUGGUAGAGAUGAUCUGUAGAGGAUGACCUAUAAGCUGUACCAUUGGAUAAUUCAAAUAUAACUAACAAAUCCAGCAGGAUGAUGGGUUCUCGUUACCCGUAUGAAUAUUUAAAUUAGUAUUUCGGUCACUUUUCUUUCAAUUCAAGAGUCAUACAGUUUCGUAUUUCGUACAUUUUUGGCAGAGAUGAUCUUUAUAGGAAGACUUAAAAGAUGUAUAGUUGGAUAAAUGAAAUAUAACCCAUGAACCCAUGGUGUGGGAUGAUGGAUUCUCAUUACCCGUAUGAAUUUGAAAAUCUGUAUUUCGGGAACUUUACUUUUGAUUCAACUGUCAUGUAGUUUCAUUUUAUUUUUAUUUUUGGCGGUGAUGAUCAUUAUGGGAUGACUUAUAAGAUGUAAGGUUGGAUAAUUGAAAAAGAACUAACGAACCCGUGGAGGUGGGAUGAUAAUUUCUAAUUACCCGUCUAGUUCCAAAACUGUAUUUUGAACCCUUUUCUUUUAAUUGAACGGCAAUAUAGUUUCACUUUCUUUUAAUUUUUGGUAGAGAUGACUUUUACAUGAUGACCUAUAAGAUGUGUAGUUGGAUAAUUGAAAUAUAACCCAAUACCCAUCGAGUGAGAUUACAGAUUCCCAUUACCAGUAUUUAUUUGAAAAUCUGUAUUUCCAACCCUUUUCUUUUUCCUUCAAGUGUUGUAUAGUUUCGUAUUCUUUUUAUAUUGAGCAUAGAUGAUCUUUAAAGGAUAACCUAUAUGAUGUAUAGUGAGGUUUUUGAAAUAUAUCCCAUGGACUCAUGGAGUGUGGUGAAGUGUUCCCAUUACAUGUAUCAAUUCGAAAAUCUAUAUUUCGGGCUCUUUUCUUUCAAUUCAAGAGUCUAAAAGUUUUCUAUUCUUUUUAUUUUUGGCAUAGAUGAUCUUUAAAGGAUGACCUAUGAGAUGUAGACCCAUAAAGUGGGAUGAUGUUCACAUUAACCGUAUUAAUUCAAAAAUCUGUAUUUCCUGCUUUUUUCUUUCAAUUCCAGAUUCUAAAAGUUUCAUACUCUUUUCAUUUUCAGCAGAAAAGAUCUUUAAGGGAUGACUAUGAGAUGCACAGUUCUAUUUUUGAAACAUAACUCGUAGACACAUAAAGUGGGAUGAUGUUCUCAUUACCCAUGUUAAUUCGAAAAUCGUUAUUUUGGGCUCUUUUCUUUCAAUUCCAGAGUCUAAAAAUUUCAAAUUCUUUUUAUUUUUGGCAGAGAAGAUCUUUAAGGGAUGACCAAUGAGAUGUAUAGUUAGAUUUUCGAAACAUAACUCAUAGACCCAUAAAGUAUGAUUAUGUUCUCAUUAUCCGUGUUAAUUCAAAAAUCUGUAUUUUUGGCACUUUUCUUUUAAUUCAAGAGUCUAAAAGUUUCAUAUUCUUUUUAUUUUUGGCAAAGAUGAUCUUUAAGGGAUGACCAAUGAGAUGGACAGUUUGAUUUUCGAAAUAUAACUCGUAGACCCAUUAAGUGGGAUUAUGUUCCCUUUACCCGUGUUAAUUCGAAAAUCUGUAUUUUGGGCACUUUUCUUUUAAUUCAAGAGUCUAAAAGUUUUGUAGUCUUUUUUAUUUUUGGUAGAGGUGAUCUUUAAGGGAUGACCAAUGAGAUAUACAAUUAGAUUUUCGAAACAUAACUCAUAGACCCAUAAAGUGGGAUUAUGUUCUCAUUACCAGUGUUAAUUUUUUUUUUUUUUUUUGCCAGAGAUGAUAUUUAAGGGAUGACCUAUGAGAUGUACAGUUAGAUUUUUGAAAAAUAACUUGUACACCCAUAAAGUGGGAUGAUGUUCUCAUUACCUGUAUUAAUUCGACAAUUUGAAUUUCAGGUUCUUUUCUUUCAAUUCAAGAGUCUAAAAGUUUGGUAUUCCUUUUAUUUUUGACAAAAAUGAUCUUUAAGGGAUGACCAAUGAGAUGUACAAUUGGAUUUUCGAAACAUAACUCGUAGACCCAUAAAGUGGGAAGAUGUUCUCAUUAUCCGUGUUAAUUCGAAAAUCUUUUUUUUGGGCUCUUUUCUUUCAAUUCCAAAGUCUAAAAGUUUCAAAUUCUUUUUAUUUAUUUUUUUAUUUUUUUUGGCAAAGGUGAUCUUUAAGGGAUGACCUAUGACAUGUACAGUUUGAUUUCUGAAACAAAACUCGUAGACCCAUAAAGUCGGAUGAUGUUUGUUUGUACCAUACUUUGACCAAUCCCGAAACUACUGAGCAUCGAUCAACGUUAUAUUGUCAAGGACCCAGAAGAGUUUCCCUCCAACAAGGAGGCCAAUCACAACACGACACGUGUCGACAUCAUAAGCCAAUCAUAGCGCGACACAUGUCAACAUCAGAAGCCAAUCAUAACACGACACGUGUCAAUGUCAGAAUGAAACUAGGAACUUUCUUUUAUAAAUAGAGAUCAUUCUCUCACAAUAUUUCCUAAUGUCAUUUGUAAUAAAUCAUUCACUAGUACUCACUAAAGGAGAGCUUGAACCUAUGUACUUGUGUAAGCCCUUCACAAUUAAUGAGAACUCCUCUACUUCGUGGAUGUAGCCAAUCUGGGUGAACCACGUACAUCUUGUGUUUGCUUCCCUGUCUCUAUAUAUUUACAUACUUAUCCACACUAGUGACCGGAGCAAUCUAGAGAAGGUCACAAAAUUACACUUUCUGUUGUACCAAAGUCCUCACUGAUUUUGUGCAUCAACAUUUGGCGCCGUCUGUGGGAACGACACUUAUUCCCACUCUCUUCAGCUUUGUCAAGUUGGUUUCCACCAUUCGUACACUCUCUUUUGACCAGGCAUCCCUUUCCAACAUAGGGAGCGAAGGAAGCCACAACACACAGAAUGACAUCCCUCUUGCACCUGGUGCGAAGCAACGAAAGAAGGAACAAAAGAAGUUUGCUCUUCAGGCUAAAGUCGAUGAGCUGGAAGCUCAGAACAACAAGAUAGCAAUGAAGAAUGAGAUCCUCCAAGAGCAGUAUGAGAAGGUCUUCGAGAUGCUCGACGAGGCUAGAUAUACUAAAACACACGAGCUCAUCACCCCUGUGGAAGUCAAUUAUCAAUUGGGUGCCCCCCAACAUGGAGGGUCAUUUGCCCUCGACCUAGGUAUUCCUGUUGAGGAGCGAGCUACUCAUCGAAAUGGUGACCAACAUGAGACUUCUCUCAACCCAACUGCUUCGACCCGAAGCAGGAGGAGUGGAGGAAGGCACCUCCUUACAGAAGGAGUGGAAGGAUCGAAAGCCGUCUUUCACGACUGUCGAAACUUCCUAAAGCAAUGUCGAGACAAUCCCAUCCAUGUAAGCUCGAAGAUCAAUGACCCAAGGGUCUCUGAAAGACUCGGUCCCCUCCCAUGUCCCAGACUGGCUACCAAUUUGGGGAAGGGGCAACAAGUCCUAGAAAAACACGAAAGUAUAGGGGACUCAGAGAUGUUCCGACAGACAUACCUUGGAAUUCAGUACGGCGAGUCUAGGGAAAAAUCACAUGUUCUUGAUCAAACCUUCAUACUUCCAAGAGGACAUGGAGAUUUACGAAAGAAAGCUCCAGUGGUACAUGACUCCACUCAGGACCCUCUUGUUCUAUAACUCCUUAAGGAAGUAAACAAGUUGAAGGUCGAACGGCAAGCUGAGAUACCUGAUUGGAACCAACCUAGGCCUGGCCCUCUUACAAGGAAGAUCCUCGACACCCCCUCCAAGCAAAGACAAAGCAGAAGCUUGGCUUGCAACUCUAUACUAGAAAGGAGGACCUGAUUGAACACCUUAACCUAUUUGAGUCCACCAUGGCAUACCGGAUGCACACCGAUGAAGAGCGAUGUCUUCUCUUCCCCUCCACCCUCUCUGGCAGAGCUUUAAACUGGUAUUGUCGUCUUCCACCUAAGACAGUAGACUCAUUUGAGGAAUUGAGGAAACUAUUUGUUUCUCAACACAUUUUCUAGACCGAUCGCUUGCACUCUGCGGAUGACUUGUACACUAUUCGCCAGAAGCCAGACGAGUCAUUAUGUAUGUAUGCUGGGCGCUUCAGCCAUGAGUAUUCCCGUUGUGUAGAGGCAGACGAUAAGACCGCCCUCAAAGCCUUCACGGCAAGCCUACGUGAUUGUUUCUUCAAGUACAUGAUCAAUGCCAACACUUGGAAGACUUACUCUGAGGUGAUGGCACAGGCUUACAACCAUGCCUCCCUGAGGCAAUGACAUAUCAAGGGAAACCCCCACAGCCACCCCUUAUCAGUAAGUAGAGAGUGGAAGCCAGAUCUAACCAAAUGAGAAGACCUCGACCUUCCAAAUGGCAGCGGUGCCUCAUCCUGCCUUACUUAAUACUUCGCCAAGUUAACAGACAUAUCAAUCUCAUGGCAAAAGGAAAGAUUUCCAUCCUCACCAGUCCCAUUUUAGUAAAAGGAGUAAGGGACACUAUCGCGAUAACCAAGGGUAUCGCCAUGAUAAUGCCCGCCCCUAGAUAGUCCACACAGUGGGCCAAGCACGCGUCAGGACAGGCCCUACCCUGAGGUAUGAGACAUACACGCCUUUGAACGCCACAUGCGUGGCCAUUUACCCCAACAUAGCACACCUGAUACCGAAGCCAAUGCCGAGGCAGUCGGGUUUCAAGCCCACGAAGAACACGGGCACGUUUUGUUGCUACCACGAACAUGACGGCCAUAACGGCAAAAAGUGUAUCACCAUUCGUGAUCAUAUUUAAGCUUUGGUGCGUGAAGGAAAAAUUGAUCAAUUCUUCCUUCACCCUUCAAGGGAUAACUGUAACCAACGCCAAGUGAAUGUGAUAUAUUCCAUAAACAGCGGCACACCCAUAUCUGAAUCUUCCAAUAGGACCAUGAAAAACAGCGAACGAGCUUUAAGGCAUGGCCACCAAGUGUUUCACGUGGAAGAUAUCAGGGGAGCCAAGUAUUAAAAACUGAACUGGAAUCCAAUAUGUUUCUACCCUAAGGAAGGAAGAGGUAUCAUCUACCCUCACAAUGACUCACUGAUCGUGGAGGCUCACAUACCCAACUUUGAAGUAAGCCUCGCCUCAGCGGUGGAAGACAAAAUUGGGAGAAAAAUUCAGGUCGAAUUGUUGACAGCACCAAGCACCAUGGUUGCGGAAGUGUGUAACUUACAACAGGGGGAUAGUUGGAUUACCCCGAUUUAUAGAUUCCUUGCUCAUGGCACCUUUCCAAAAGACAAAGUCCAAGUUAAGCAGAUUCGAUACAAGGCUACCUGUUACUUGAUCAUUGAUGACCAACUCUACAAGCGGGGUUUUAACCUACCAUACCUAAGAUGCCUUACGUCCGUAGAGGCGAAAAUUGUCCUUCGGGAAAUACAUGAAGGAGUUUGCGAAGAUCAUGCUGGAUCUCGAUCCCUAGCACAUAAGGCUUUUCGCCAAGGAUAUUACUGGCCAACACUCUACCAAGAUGCCAUCAGAAUAUCUCGCUCAUGUGAUAAGUGUCAACGCUACACAACUAUUCCUCACUCCCCUCUCUAGCCGCUCACUCCUAUGAUCAGCCCUUGGCCCUUGGCCCAAUAGGGACUUGAUUUGAUCAGCCCAAUGCCUGCAGGGAAGGGUAAGGUCCAUUAUGCAAAUGUUGCAGUUGACUACUUCACAAAGUGGGCUGAAGUAGAAACCUUGGCAACCAUUACUGAGGCAAAAAUAGAAGACUUCGUAUGGAAGAACAUCCUUUGUAGAUUCAGCAUUCCCAAUGCGAUAGUCACUGACAACGGGCGGCAGUUCGACAAGAAUAAGUUCAGGAUGUUCUGCUCUAAGUUCAACGCUCAUCCCUAGUCUAAUGGAAAGUUGAAGCCAUCAACAAAAUAAUCAAGCGAACUUUGAAAACCAGCUUGGACAAGGCUAAAGGUUGUUGGCCAGAACUUGUACCCCUAGUUCUUUGGUCAUACUGCACUUCGUAUCAGACAUCAACAGGAGAAACCCCAUUCUCACUUGCCUUUGGAAUAAAGGUAGUUGUCCCAGUUGAGCUUAAGCAAGCAACAUUCCGAGUCCAAAACUACAUGCAAAGCGAAAAUGACAAACAACUUACCCUCAACUUAGAUCUAGUCGAGGAACACAGAAACCAGGCUCACUUGAGGAAUGUCGCCUACAAGCAGUACAUCUCCAACUACUAUGACUCAAGGGUCAAACCUCGUUCUUUCAAAGUGGGGGACUGGGUAUUGAAGAAAAGAUUACUCUGCGACAGAGUUCCGAGUGAAGGAACAUUUAGUUCAAACUGGGAUGGACUGUUUGAAGUUGUUGGCAUCAGUCGCCCUGGCUCCCACAAGCUUAGAAGCUUCGAUGGCAAGACCCUUGGCCAUCCAUGGAACGCUGAUCACUUGAAGUACUAUUACAACUAAACUCACAUUGUACAAGUGUUAAGCUUCAGCUGUUCGGCAUCCUAUGUAACGAAGACUAUUUGGCAUGAAUUCAAUAGAAAGGUGAUUUAGACAACUCGAUCCUAAUCCUCUUACAUUCCUAGCAGUGAAAUACUCAGGUUCAAAGCUUCAACAUGAAUGCUUCCAACAUGAAAUAAGGUCUAUGUCAACAAGACUAUACAAAUAAACGAACAACUUAACAGUAUAUUCAUUCAAUCAUACAUUCCAACACAUUCAUACAUAAGCCAACUGUGCUUCGAAAGGGUUCAACAUACUUUGUGUUAUUCGACACUUGCUACAAUGUGCCUCGAUACCUUGCCCUUAUUCUCACCAACCAGGUGAUGAAAUGUACAACCCAUACUCUAAUAUCAUUUGGCAACUUGCCAUUCAUGCCACCAACUAGAUGAAGAAGGAACUCAUCCUCGUGCCACAAACCAGGUGAUGAAAUGUGAUGAAAGGUGAUGAAGGAACUCACCUUCGUACCACCAACCAAGUGAUGAAAGAACUCACCAUUCAUUCCACCUACCAGAAGACGAGCGGUACAACUUGUACAUGUGAACUCCUAGCAUUCACAAGUAAUAAAAAACCCUCAAGCUUGACAACUUAACUAGCAAGCCAGCAAUAACUUCAGUGCAUGGCAUAUGAAGAUCAAGCUUUUUAACCCUCUUGCAUUUACUUCAAACAUUUCCCCUUUGGAACAAUGCAAACACCACAACUCGUAGAAAGCUUCACACACUCUUGAUCAAGACAGUGUAAAGCAAAACCAAUUUAUGGUGCCAACAAGAGCUUCAUCAAAGGAGUUCAACCACAAUUCUCAAAAGCUUCACACACUCUUGAUCAAGACAGUGUGAAGCAAAACCAAUUUAUGGUGCCAACAAGAGCUUCAUCAAUGGAGGGCAACCACAAUUCUGAAAAGCUUCACACACUCUUGAUCAAGAUAGUGUGAAGCAAAACCAAUUUAUGGUGCCAACAAGAGCUUCAUCAAUGAAGGGCAACUACAACUCGUAGAAAGCUUCACACACUCUUGAUUGAGAUUAUUCGAAGCAAAUUGAAUUUAUGUGGUUUGUCCAAACCUUUGACUACUACAAGGUGUGGCUUGCAUCACAAUCUCUUGCUCAAUAGUGUGGAAGCAAAAUUUGUAUAUGUUGUCUCUCCCAUAUUUUCAAAUUUCUAAUUUUCCCAAAAAAAAAAAGAAAUUGGGAAAUUCAACAAAUUUCUAGUUUUCCCCAAAAAAAAAAAUUGGGAAAUUCAACAAAGCUUAAUUAAUGGAGGACAACUACAAAUUCUCAAAAGCUUCACACUAUCUUCAUCAAGAUAGUGUGAAGCAAAAUCAAUUCAUGGUACCCACAAAAGCUUCACCACAAAAGCUUCACCAACAAAAGCUUCAUCAAUGGAGGAGUGUGAAGCAAAAUCAAUUCAUGGUACACAACAAAAGCUUCAACUCCAAAGCUUCACCUACAAAACUUCACCUACAAAGCUUCAAAUCCAAAGCUUCACCUACAAAGCUUCAACUCCAAAGCUUCACCUACAAAGCUUCACCCACAAAAGCUUCACCCACAAUAGCUUAACCAACAAAAGUUUCUCCCACAAAAGCUUCACCCACCACAAAAGCUUCACCCAUAAAAGCUUCACCAACAAAAGCUUCACCCAUAAAAAUUGCACCAACAAAAGCUUCACACACCACAAGAGCUUCACCCAUAAAAGCUUCACCCCCCACAAAAACUUCACCCACAAAAGCUUCACCCACCACAAAAGCUUCACCUACAAAAGCUUCACCCACCACAAAAGCUUCACCCACCACAAAAGCUUUACCUACAAAAGCUUCACCAACAAAAGCUUCACCCAUAAAAGCUUCACCAACAAAAGCUUCACCCAUAAAAGCUUCACCAACAAAAGCUUCACCCACCACAAAAGCUUCACCCACCACAAGAGCUUCACCCAUAAAAGCUUCACCCACCACAAAAGCUUCACUUACAAAACCUUUACACUAUCUUGAUCAAGAUAGUGUGAAGCAAAAUCAAUUCAUGGUACCCAACAAAGCUUCAACCUCAGAGCUUCACCUACAAAGCUUCAACACCAAAGCUUCACCUACAAAGCUUCUUUGGGCCUAACAACUUUCAUAACACAUAUAUAUGAAGGAGGAGUUUUGGGCUACCACUUAGAAAGGAAAUGCCUCAUUCGUCAACUCCCUCGACCGGAGACUUGGGGGACUCCUACCAUAUGCUACUGCACCUUGAUACUCGGAAGUCUCACGACCACUCAGUGACUUGGAUUUUUCAAGUCUCUAACCGAGAAGUUUUCCUCACUCGGGAAAUUAAGGGAGCACUACCUCAACCUACAUGCUUCACUCACAAAGCUUCAACAUACAAGCUUCACCAAAAGAAAAAAUUCAAAAAACUUAGUGAAGAAGGCUUUGGUGUAUUUAACACUAUACGUUGAAAUGAAACAAAGCUUAUUUAUUGAUAUCUCCGAUAAGUUACAAAUAUGUACAUAUACACGAAUCAAAAUAAACAAACACGAGGGAGCCUUCACAAAGGUUACUCAGGAGAAGUCUUAGCAGUCGGCAGAGCCCCAGAAAGAGAAGGCACCGAAGGGUGAUCAUUCGGAGCCUCAGUACUGGGCAAAACCCCAGAAGGAGGAGGCACUUAAGGUUGAUCAUUUAGAGCUUCAUUACGCGGUACAGCCCUAGAAGACAAAGGCAAUAAAUGCCUUUGGAACAAACCUACAAACCUCUGAUGAUCAAGUAAAAUCUGACCAUCAGAUUCCUGCAGCUGGUCGAGCUUCCUCUUCAUGCUGACCAUCAGAUUCCUGAGGUUGAUCAUUUAGAGCUUCAUUACGCGGUACAACCCCAGAAGACGAAGGCAAUAAAUGCCUUUGGAACAAACCUACAAACCUCUGAUGAUCAAGUAAAAUAUGACCAUCAGAUUCCUGCAGUUGGUCGAGUUUCUUCUUCAUGUUUGUAGCAUAGUCAUAUGCGAGCCUAUGCAACUGUUUAUUCUCAUGCUUGAGCCAUCUGAUCUCCUGUUUGAGACUUAUCACUUCAGCCGCCAAUGAUUCAACUUGGCGGGUUCGAGCAAAUAGGCGGGCCAUAUUAGACACAGAACCUGCACACUGAACACUGAGAGCCAAAGAAUCCUUAAUAGCCAACUCAUCGGACCAUUUGGAAAGUAGUCUGUUAUCUUUGGGAGCGAGAAGGUUCCUAGCCACUACCGCAGUUGUCAUAUCAUUCUUCAUCAUAGAGUCCCUAACGGUAAGAGGACCAGUAGGGGAUAAGAAGAAUGGGCGCCAUAUGUUGUCUUGAGAGGGCAUGGCUGUCUCUUCACCAAAGUUUAACUCAAAACGACGGUCGGAUGGGCCAGACAUUCUUAGAAAUGAUGAAGGAGAAAUGAGGUACAAUAAAUCUCUGAAGUACAAAAAUAAGGGGAAAAUUCCUAAAAGCAAUAACUCUCUGAAAGUACUUCUUGCACAUAAUUGGUUCCCCUAUAAAAGAAAGGGCAACAGGGUCGUUGGUUCAAAAAUCGUAGAGGCACCACUCUCCAGAUUUCGAGAAGUAGAUUUUCCUGAAUAAAAUAUGUCGACAAUCCCCACACACAACAUCAGCUCCUCAGGUACCAUAGAUAAUUUUGCGAAAGAUCUCUGACAAAGUUUAGACAAAUAAAUUUUGAAGGUCCAGCCACCCUACUAUUACCCACAAGGGUAAAGGAACAACACCACUGCUUGAUAACUGGAAAGUCCCUAUGUGUGUCAACCUCUAUGCUCCGUGGCAAGGCAGACUGGCAAAAAUGCCUAACCUUUACUCACAUUCGAGAAAGCCCUCCCAACAAGAUUGCUUGCUCAAAAAUCGAAGAGGCACAACUUUCCUAAUCUCAAGAGCCAGACUCCCAACAGGAUUACUUGCUAAAAAAUCGAAGAGGCACCGCCCUCCGAAACUUGAAAGCCAGACUCCCAACAGGAUUACUUGCUAAAAAAUCGAAGAGGCACAUCUCUCCGAAUCUCGAGAGUCAGACUCCCAACAGGAUUACUUGCUCAAAAAUCGAAGAGGCACCGUUUUCCGAAUCUCAGAAGCCAGACUCCCAACAAGAUUGCUUUCUCAAAAAUAGAGGAGGUACCAUUCUCCGAAUCUUGAGAGCCAGAUCCCCGACAGGAUUACUUGUUCGAAAACCGAAGAGGCACCACUCUCUAAACUUCGAGAGCUAGAUUUCCUUGGAUAAAGCUUGUUUGCAAUCUUCACACGCAACAUCAGCUUUCCAGAUACCACAAACCACUUUUUCAAAGUGCUCUGACAAAGUUAAAACACAUGAAUCUUACAGCUCCCACUACAUUGCUAUGACCGAUAAGGGCAAAAGAACAGCGUUACCACUCGUUGUUGGGACAAUUCCUAUAUAUGUCGACCUUCAUCCUCCAUAGCCAGGCAGACCUGCAAAUAAUAAAAAAUGCCCAACUAUUCUUCACAUCCGAGAGGGCACUCUCAGCAGAGUCUCUCGAAAUACUCAGAUUCUUCCCCCCCCCCGCCCGAUAAUACCUCUGCAAACAAGCCACACCAGAUCAAGAGUAUCUCAUAUCAUCAAGGUUAAAAGCAAGAGUAUCCUAUAUCAUGAUUUUUCCCUAUCUUUUCCUUUGGCAUUGUUCUUACCUGGAAGACAAGGAGAAAGAGAGCAACCAGUCAGCACUUAGAAUCAAGCUUCUAGUCAGGAACUGACUGCCUGGAACCCCUUGCCUGAUUACUUACCUGGCAUUGCUCUCGAGUACUCAUCUUCAACAUCUUAUGCUUCCAGAGAAGAUACCACAUCUGCCUAAGGAACAUAUAAGGCAAGUGAGAAGAAUACAAGGAAGCAUGUGGGGACAAGCGUAACGGAACACGUGCCGAUACAUCCACUACUUUGUUAAUAGCAAAAGUAUCCCAUAUCAUCAGGGUUGAACGUACUCUAGAUUUGAUGGACUUGUUUUGACCCUCAAAUUCUUGAGUCGACCUUAUACUCAGGAGGAAACCAGAAAACCCUCCAGCCCAGUUCAAGAAUAAGCCUAUGGAAAGUUACUUCUUCAAAAGCAAAAGUAUCUCAUAUCAUCUCUUCUCCAUUUGCUUCUCCUUAUCCUUGUUGCUGUUUAUGACACAAGGAGAAGGAGAACAAUCAACCGGAAGCCGAAGUCGAACCUCUGAUCCAGGUUGCUUACUUGGAAAUCUGAUUACUUACCUUGUCUGUUACCUCCUUCGGCAAAUUUCCUAGCUCGGUGACUUAGGGGACUUCUACUGUAGGGUUUGUAUCGCACUUGACCAACCCGAAACUACAAGUAAGCUUCAAGUCAAAUUGAUACAUUACCUUGUGCAUCUUUAUCGGUUAAAGAUACCACCCUUGGAUGGAGGAAAAAUACUUCCAAAGAAGAUGCCACAUCUACAUAUGAGACAGAUAAGGCAAGUGAAAAUGAUACCACACUUCGGUACUUAGAAGUUUCGUGAUUACUCAAUGGCAUGGAUCUUGCAAGUCCCCAACCGAGGAGCUUUCCUCACUCGGGAACUUAGGGGAGCACUGUUAUACCGUCAAGGACCCAAAAGAGUUUCCCUCCAACUAGGAGGCUAAUCACAGCGCGACACGUGUCGACAUCAGAAGCCAAUCAUAUCACGACACGUGUCAACAUUAGAAGCCAAUCACAACACGACACGUGUUAAUGUCAGAAUGAAACUAGAAACUCUCUUCUAUAAAUAGAGAUCAUUCUCUCACAAUAUUUCCUAAUGUCAUUUGUACUAAAUCAUUCACUAGUACUCACUAAAGGAGAGCUUGAAUCUAUGUACUUGUGUAAGCCCUUCACAAUUAAUGAGAACUCCUCUACUCCGUGGACGUAGCCAAUCUGGGUGAACCACGUACAUCUUGUGUUUGCUUCCUUGUUGAUAAGCUCAUAUUUAUAUAUACUUUACAUCAAAUUCACUUGUCUUUUCUUAGUUAGUUCCUUAUAUUUUUGAGCUAUUUACUUUGUUUUUGUGUUUUCUAGGAUUUGUCAAGCAAAGAAACGAAAAAUAGCACAACCUAGAUUUUAAGUAACAAAUUCGUCAAAACUGCCUGUGCAGGUCGGCUGACUUUGGAAGAAAGUUGCGAACAAAUAAAAAUGAAUUAGAGAAUGAACCUUAUAUGCUUGGAAAGCUACGGUGUCUAUUUUCUGGAGCAUUUUGUGGAUUGUUAAUAUCAUUUUUGUAGAAGAAGUUGUGGCCAUUUUAACACUAAAAGGUUCACAAGAGACUGGGCAGUUUGUAACUGCAAUGAAAGCAAUAAACCCAAUAAAUCUAGCAGCCAAAACUAAUGCAGCCAAGAACAAGCCAGGAACAAGCCAGCUGAUACCUAUUCAAAUAUCAGAGGAAAUGAAAAUAAAGAUGAGGAUUAAGUGAGAGUAAUUGGCAUAAAGGCUACCCAAAGAGUUACAAUUGUUUUACCAUUUCCUCUCACUUAUUGCAAUCACUAAAUGGUUGUUAGUAGGUGAGUUAAGGAGAAGAAAAUGGGGCAGCAAGUUAAAAAGGGGAAAGGGUGCAGAUUGCAAGGUUGGAAAAAGAAGAGAAGGGGAAAAAAAAUAUAAAAGAAAGAGGACAAGGCAGCUUUGCUGAAAGGAAGGAAAGGAAGGAGGAAAUCUUGGCAUUCUCUUCUCUCGGUUUUGUCUUCUCAAACUCAUGUCUUUCUUUUGGUUUUAUUUGAUAAUAAUGUGUAACUAAAUUCUUAGUAGUUAGGGCUGUUUUGAAGCCCCGAAUAUGAUUGCAAGUUUGUUAUGACAUUUUGUUUGAAUUACUUUUAUGCAUGGAUGAAAAUUGAUUCACUACUUGUCUCAUUCAUGAAUUCUUUAUGUGUUUUUUACGGAUGCAUACUUAGUAAGCAUAUCUAGGAUUCUAAAGCUAUGAAUAUGUGUGUGCCUACCCUUGUCGAAUGAGGACCUACAUAUGUUGUAGAGUAGUACUUGUUAAUUGCGAUUAACAUGUGAACCAAUUUCUAGGAUAAGUAAGACAACGCCAGUACUUACAAUGCCUUAUGAUGACUCAAACUCUUUUCAUUCUUAAUGAUUUGUACUUGUUAAAUCUAUGAACACGCCAUUCUAGAUUGCAUGCUAGGGACUAAGUUAAAUUGAAAACGCCAUUCUCUUAACAUACUACAUAAGAAAGAGUAAUAGGUUGAGUUCUAACAUUGAGCCAACUUGAGCAUCUUCAUCCGGAAAUAAAAGGAAUUUGAAUGAAACAUAACAUGUUUACAUGAUUAUUUGGUGGUGGAUAGCAAUUCCCCUAACUCGUUUUUCGUAAUUUGUGAACAACUUAAAAUUUGUUUCUGUCCUGUUUUUGUUCAAUUUAAUUUAAAUAGAAAAUCAACUCCAAAAAUCCCAAAAAUUUGUUGAAGUGUAGCUCUGUGUGUCUAGUGUCUUCAUAUAAAAUUCGUAGAAUUUAGGUAAGUGUAAGUUGGUCUAAUAAUUAUUUUUCGGUGGCUGGUCAGUUGGGACAGCAACCAGUUUUUGUGACAUUUUAAGUAGUUAGAUAAAACAAUCUUCUGCAGGAAAGACCCUUAUUUUCAUAUGUUACAAUUGACAAAUCUUAAUGUUAAUGAGGAAAAUCGAUAGGACAUUUGUGUGCUACUUUGUGGUGUGCUUUUAAUCUUAUCAAAUUUUUGACGCCGUGUCGCCGGGGAUUGUUAUUUCUAAAUACUUAUUUUUCUAUUGUUUUCUUUUCUUGCCUAAUUAGUGUUUUUGUUUUUAUUUUUAUUUCAGGUACUCUUCGUAGUAUAUGCAUACUCGAAGGUCCAAGAGCAUUGAUCUUGCUUCCUACGAUCCUGAGCUUGAGCGAACACUUUGGAAGCUUCAGAGAAAAAUCAAGCAGAAGCGUGCAUCGGUGUCUUUACCACCAUCUUCUCCACCCCAUUUGAGUUCUGAAAAGGAGGAAGAACCACAAGAAGGCAUGGCUGAUAACCAUACUUUGAAGGAAUUGGCAACGCCAAAUAAAAAUCAACAACCAUUGUGCAUCACAUAUCCAAAUGCAGAAGAAGGAUUUGAGCUCAAGUCCGGCCUAAUUCACUACUUGCCUAAGUUCCAUGGCUUCUCAACAAAGGAUGCCAACAAGCAUCUCAUGGAGUUUCACGUGUUAUGCUCAGGAAUGAGACUAGCAAAUGUUGAUGAUGAGCAAGUCAAGUUGAGGGCAUUCCCAUUUACAUUAGAAGCUAAGGCAAAGGAGUGGCUUUACAAUUUACCUCCGGGAUCAAUGAACACAUGGAACCAGGUGAAGCAAGCAUUCUUGGAGCAAUAUUUUUCAGCCACAAAAGCUGCAAGCAUAAGGAAGGACAUAUGUGCAAUCCGGCAACAACAUGGAGAACCCUUUGGAGAUUACUAUGAGCGAUUCACAAAUUUGGUUGCAUCUUGUCCUAAUCAUCAAAUUUCAGAGCAUACUUUAAUACAGUAUUUUUAUGAAGGAUUGUGUGGUACUGAUCGUGUAAUGCUUGAUGCAGCAAGUGGAGGAGCAUUCAUGGACAAGACACCAACAAAUGCUAAGGCAUUAUUAAAGAACAUUGCUAGCAAUACACGACAAUUUGGAGGGAGAGAUGAGCUACCUCUUAAGAAAGUUAAUGAGGUAAGUGCUAAUUCUAGUAUUGAAUUAGAAUAAGCUAACUUGACUAAUCUUGUGCAACAGGUUAUGGUGGCUCCAAAACAGGUGUGUGGUGUAUGUUCAAUGAUGGGACAUGCCAUGGACAUGUGCCCUUCAUUGAUGGAUCAAGGUGGUCUUGAGCAAGCUAAUGCGUUAGGAGGGUUUCACGGGCAACAAAGGCAAAACUAUAAUCCAUACUCCAACAACUAUAACGCGGGGUGACGCGAUCAUCCACAUUUAAAGUGGAACAAUCAAGACAACAGACAACAAUCUAUUCCCAACAACUAUAACCGUCCACCUGGCUUCUUUCAAGCAAGUCCAUAGGCACCAUUUCAGCUUCAACAACACCAAGCUCCAAGUAAGUCUCUUGAGGAUUUAAUUGCUUAUUUAGCUAACUCUACUCAAUAUCAUCAAUAGAAAACAGACAAAGCAAUUGAAAACCUUGAGUGCCAAAUGAGUCAGUUAGCAAGUUUGAUAUGGCAACAACACCAACUAGGAAGGUUGCCUAGCCAGACCGUGGUGAAUCCAAAUACGGAGCAGAUAAAUGUUGUGACUUUAAGGAGUGGAAAAGAAGUUUUUGAGCAGUCAAGGAUGCAAAAGAGGACUAGAAAAGAUACAAAUGAUCAAGGGGAGCUAUAAACCAAGAAUCUUGAGCAAGAUAAGGCUUCAACAGAAACUGAAAAGUCUUUUAAAGCUACAGAAUUGAACACAAAAGAUUCUGAUAAGGUAAGUAAAGAAGUUCAAAAUUCAUGUGUCCCUAUUCCUUUUCCUCGUAGGUUUAUGAAGUCUAAGAAAGAGCAAACUGAUAAGGAAAUCUUGGAUACUUUCCGGAAAGUCCAAGUGAACUUACCUGUUUUAGAUGUCAUAAAACAAGUGCCCAAGUAUGCAAAGUUCCUUAAAGAGCUUUGUACGAACAAGAUUAGAUUCAAUGAUCAAGAAACUAUGGCAUUAAGCGAUGAAGUGUCAGCUGUUUUGCAGAGAAAGCUGCCACUGAAGUUGAAAGAUGCCGGUAGCCUUACCAUUCCAUGUGUAAUCGGAGGGAAAGAGUUUGGGAGCGCAUUGUGUGAUUUGGGUGCAUCCAUCAAUUUGAUGCCAUAUUCAAUGUAUGAAUCAUUGAACCUUGGAGACUUGAAGGAAACAAAGGUAGUAAUCCAGUUGGCAGAUCGUUUAAAUAGAUAUCCCAAAGGCCUAUUGGAGGAUGUACUUGUGCAAUUGAAUGAGCUUAUUUUUCCCGCUGACUUUUUUGUUCUUGAGAUGGAACAUGACCCUAUGCUUACUGCACUUCCUCUUAUAUUGGGAAGACCAUUCCUUAAAAUGGCACGUACGAAGAUUGAUGUCUACAAUGGUACCUUAACCAUGGAAAUUGAUGGAGAAAGCGUCAAGUUCAGAAUCUUCAAUGCUAUGAGGUACCCUAAUGAUUUUGAAUCUUGUUUGUCUAUUAAUGUGUUUGACAAUUUUGUGCAGGAUUGUUUAAAUGAAGGUGUGGGGCAAGAUAAUUUAGAGAAAGCGUUAGUGCAUAGCAUUACACAUGGACAUUUUAAUUAUUCUGAGCACAUUGAAGAAGAAUUAAUCCAGACAGUGGCAAUCCUUGAGUCACUUUCACCAAUUUUUGGUAAGUCUUCUUCCUAUUUUAUUUCUCUUCCUACUUCUAACAAAAAAACUCUUCCUUCUGUGAUUCAGGCACCCAAACUGGAGCUUAAACCGAUUCCUGAACGUUUAAAGUAUGCAUUUUUAGGAGAGGAUGAAACAUUACCUGUCAUCAUAUCAUCACAACUCACAGCAGAAGAGAGGGAGAAACUGUUCCGAGUACUGAAGGAUCACAAAACUGCCAUAGCUUGGAGUAUUGCAGAUAUCAAAGGUAUAAAUCCAGCUACAUGUAUGCAUAGGAUUCUGUUGGAGGAAGGUGCAAAACUAAUAAGGGAAGCUCAACGCCGUUUGAACCCACUCAUGAUGGAGGUUGUCAAGAAAGAGGUUAUCAAACUUCUUGAUGUUGGCAUCAUAUAUCCUAUCUCGGACAACAAGUGGGUGAGCCCCGUUCAAGUAGUUCUGAAGCGAUCCAGAAUCACAGUUGUUAAGAAUGAAGCUAAUGAGCUAGUGCCUACACGUGUGCAAAAUAGUUGGAGAGUCUAUACAGACUAUCGGAAGAUAAACAGCACUACAUGCAAGGAUCACUUUCCAGUCCCAUUCAUUGAUCAAAUGUUAGAAAGGUUAGCUGGUCAUUCUCAUUAUUGCUUUCUUGAUGGCUAUUCUGGAUAUAAUCAGAAUGCAGUAGCUCCAGAGGAUCAAGAAAAGACGACUUUCACAUGCCCAUUUAGCACAUUUGCAUACCGGAGGAUAACGUUUGGACUUUGCAACGCUCUCGCCACAUUUCAAAGGUGUAUGGUAAGUAUCUUUUAUGAUAUGAUUAAGAAAAUAAUUGAAGUGUUCAUGGAUGAUUUUUCAAUUUAUGGUGAUUCUUUUGAUACAUGUCUGCAUAAUUUGUCUCUAGUUUUAAAACGUUGCCAAGAAACUAAUCUAGUCUUAAAUUGGGAAAAAUCUCAUUUCAUGGUUUCACAUGGAUUAGUUGUAGGGCCUUUCAUAUCUGAAAAUGGAAUUGAAGUUGAUCAAUCUAAAGUAGAACUUGUUAGUUCUUUACCCCUCCUUACCACUGUCAGGGAGGUUCGUUCUUUUCUUGGACAUGCAGGUUUUUACCGUAGGUUUAUGAUGGACUUCUCAAUGAUUUCUAGACCUUUGUGUUGUUUGCUUCAAAAAGAUGUAACAUUUGAUAUGAAUGAAGAGUGUGUGGUAGCAUUCUAGAAGCUUAAGGAGUUGUUAUGCACGGCUCCUGUGAUCAAACCACUGAUUGGAGUUUACCUUUUGAGUUGAUGUGCGAUGCUUCAGACUAUGCCAUCGGUGCAGUUCUAGGGCAACGUGUCAACAAAGUGGCACAUGUCAUCUAUUAUGCAUCUCGAACACUCAAUGAUGCACACUUGAAUUAUUCAACAAUAGAGAAGGAGCUUUUUACUGUUGUAUUUGCUUUAGAAAAAUUUAGAUCUUAUCUAAUUGGGACUAAAGUUAUUGUGUUUUCUGACCAUGCAGCUUUGAAGUAUCUACUCACAAUAAAGGAUGCAAAAUCGCGACUCAUUCGAUGGAUACUUCUACUUCAAGAGUUUGACUUGGAGAUCAAGGAUAAGAAAUGGAGUGAGAAUGUUGUAGCAUAUCAUCUUAGUAGAUUUUUGCAUUCAAACAUAGAGGAAGAUUUCAUCCCUUUACGUGAGAGUUUUUCAGAUGAGCAAUUGUUUUGAUUAAAGGCUACUGACCCUUGGUAUGCAGAUAUUAUGAAUUACAAGGUCACCAAAAAGAUUCUGGAUGAUUUUACACGUGCUCAGAAAGGUAAGCUUGUCAAAAUCGCCAAAUACUACGAGUGGGAUGAUCCUUAUUUGUGGAAAUAUUGCACUGAUCAAUUAAUUAGAAGGUGUGUCCCCGAAUCUGAGUUUAAAUCUAUUCUAACUUUUUGUCAUUCUUAUGCAUGUGGUGGCCAUUUUGGAGCAAAGAGGACAGCUCUUAAGGUGUUAGAAAGUGGUUUUUAUUGGCCUAGUUUGUUUAAGGAUGCCUACGAGUUUUGUGCAACAUGUGAUCGUUGUUAACAAACAGGUAACUUGGGCCCAAGAAAUCAAAUGCCACAAACCCCUAUUUUGAUUGUUGAGAUCUUUGAUGUGUGGGGCAUUGAUUUCAUGGGACCUUUUCCAUCCUCUAAUGGUUUUCUUUACAUUUUAUUGGUUGUGGAUUAUGUUUCUAAAUGGGUGGAAGCAAAAGCCACCAAAACUAAUGAUUCAAAAGUUGCUUCAGAUUUUAUUAAGAGUAACAUCUUUGCAAGAUUUGGAAUACCUAGAGCAAUCAUCAAUGAUGGAGGGAGUCACUUUUGCAAUAGAACAUUUGAAGUGUUGCUUAAGAAGUACAAUGUCACACAUAAAGUGUCUACAUCUUAUUAUAUACAAACUAGUGGUCAAGCAGAAGUAUCAAACUAUGAGGUGAAGCAAAUUUUGGAGAAAACUGUGAGCCCUAGUAGGAAGGAUUGGAGCAUGCGCUUGAACGAUGCAUUGUUGGCGUAUUGGACUGCCUAUAAGACUCCUAAUGGAAUGUCCCCAUUUCGGUUAGUUUAUGGGAAACCAUGUCGUCUUCCAGUAGAGUUAGAACACAAAGCUUAUUGGGUGAUCAAAGCCUACAACAUGGACAUGAGUAUUGCCGGACAGCAUAGAAAGCUCCCAUUGAAUGAGUUAGAUGAAAUUCGGAAUGAUGCAUACGAGUCUAGUCGAAUAUACAAGGAGAAAUCAAAGGCAUUUCAUGACAAGAUGAUAUCAAGGAAGAGCUUUUCCAUUGGACAAAAAGUUCUUCUAUUUAAUUCUCGCCUUCGGUUAUUUCCAGGUAAGCUUCGUUCUCGAUGGGUUGGUCCAUUUGUUAUAACUAAUAUUUUUCCUCAUGGUGCAGUGGAGAUUCAAAGUGCAAAGACCGGAAGCAUGUUCAAAGUGAAUGGACAUAGACUAAAGCCAUAUUAAGAGUUUUUUUGUGGAGCAUGAUGUGGAGGUUGUACCCCUCCAAGAACCAUCUCCCCUUGGAUGAUUACUCUUGGUACCGUCCGACUGCGAACGUAAAAGCAAGCGCUUAUUGGGAGGCAACCCAAUAUUUCUAUUCAUUGUCUUUUUAUGUCAUUUUCAAUUUUCCAUUUGUUUUUGUUUUCUGAAUUUUCUUGCAUGCUAAACUGACUUAUUUCUUUUCUUUGUAGGAAAAUUUGAUCGUGCCCACCAAUGGAGUUGAUUGCAGAAUUGGAGUUUGGGUGUCAUCGCUUGAUUUUACUGCAAAUUGGGGAAGUUUUCAGUCCAAAUGCUUUAUUUUGUUUUUUUACUAUCUUAUUUUAUUUUUAAUUAUUGUGUAUAUUUUGACAUUGGGGACAAUGUCCAGUUUAAGUUUGGGGGUAAGGAUUAAAAAAAAGUCAUCCUAAUUUGAGUUCUUGUAAAUCUCAACAAGAGAAUUGCUUGCAAUGUAGCUUGGAACUUGUGUUUACCUAUCCUUUCAUUUCUAUAACCCUCUUCCUAAGCCUCAUUACAACCAAAAAAAGUCAUCCUAAUUUAAGUUUUGCAAUUAUGAUUGUGUAGAUGAGAUCUUUAUGCAAGCUUAUGGUAGAUCUUUCACAUUUGAUUCUUUGAGCGAAACACGUUAAACUAAACAUAUGUGUGAUUGAGUGUAUGUCCCGUGAGAAGGCCACUUGUUAGCAUAUGGUGUUUUAAAAAAAAAAAAAAAAAAAAAAAAAAAAAAAAAAAAACUUGAAAUUGCAUUAGCAUGGCUAUUACACACACUACACUUCAUGGAUGAUUAAAAGGUUACUGCUAACAUUUGAAUAAGGAAGAUGAGCUUGGAUUAGCUUAUUUGGUGGUAGCUAAGGUUCUUGAUGAUUUGUUUUCUUGAAUGAAAUUCUAUGAGGGUCACAUAGGGGGAAGCUAUUGUUUUUCAUGUUGCUACUUUUUCAUAUAUUCUUCGUUUUGCUCGAGGACUAGCAAAAGCUAAGUGUGGGGGUAUUUGAUAAGCUCAUAUUUAUAUAUACUUUACAUCAAAUUCACUUGUCUUUUCUUAGUUAGUUCCUUAUAUUUUUGAGCUAUUUACUUUGUUUUUGUGUUUUCUAGGAUUUGUCAAGCAAAGAAAAGAAAAAUAGCACAAGUUGGAUUUUAAGUAACAAAUUCGUCAAAACUGCCUGUGCAGGUCAGCUGAAUUUGGAAGCAAGUUGUGAACAGCUCAAAAUGAAUUAGAGAAUGAACGUUACAUGCUUGGAAAGCUACAGAUGUCUAGUUUCUUGAGCAUUUUGCGGAUUGUUAAUAUCAUUUUUGUAGAAGAAGUUAUGGCCAUUUUAACACUAAAAGGUUCACAAGAGACUAGGCAGUUCGUAACUGCAAUGAAAGCAAUAAACCCAAUAAAUCUAGCAACCAAAACUGAUGCAGCCAAGAACAAGCCAGCUGAUACCUAUUCAAAUAUCAGAGGAAAUGAAAAUAAAGAUGAGGAUUAUGUGGGAGUAAUUGGCAUAAAGGCUACCUAGAGAGUUACAAUUGUUUUACCAUUUCCUCUCACUUAUUGCCAACGUUACAUGCUUGGAAAGCUACGGAUGUCUAUUUUCUGGAGCAUUUCGCGGAUUGUUAAUAUCAUUUUUGUAGAAUAAGUUAUGGCCAUUUUAACACUGAAAGGUUCACAAGAGACUGGGCAGUUUGUAACUGCAAUGAAAGCAAUAAACCCAAUAAAUCUAGCAGCCAAAACUGAUACAGCCAAGAACAAGCCAGCUGAUACCUAUUCAAAUAUCAGAGGAAUUUAAAAUAAAGAUGAGGAUUAAGUGGGAGUAAUUGGCAUAAAGGCUACCCAAAGAGUUACAAUUGUUUUACCAUUUCCUCUCACUUAUUGCCAUCACUAAAUGGCUAUUAGUGGGUGAGUUAAGGAGAAGAAAAUGGGGCAGCAAGUUAAAAAGGGGAAAGGAUGCAGGUUGCAGGGUUGGAAAAAGAAGAGAAAGGAAAAAAAAUAGAAAAGAAAGAGGACAAGGCAGCUUUGCAGAAAGGAAGGAAAGGAAGGAAGAAAUCUUGGCAUUCUCUUCUCUCGGUUUUGUCUUCUCAAACUCAUGUAUUUCUUUUGGUUUUAUUUGAUAAUAAUGUGUAACUAAAUUCUUAGUAGUUAGGGGUUGUUUUGAAGCCCCGAAUAUGAUUGCAAGUUUGUUAUGACAUUUUGUUUGAAUUACUUUUAUGAAUGGAUGAAAAUUGAUUCACUACUUGUCUCAUUCAUGAAUUCUUUAUGUGUUUUCUACGGAUGCAUACUCAGUAAGCAUAUCUAAGAUUCUAAAGCUAUGAAUAUGUGUGUGCCUGCCCUUGUCGAAUGAGGACCUACAUAUGUUCUAGAGUAGUACUUGUUAAUUGCAAUUAACAUGUGAACCAAUUUCUAGGAUAAGUAAGACAACGCCAGUACUUACGAAGCCUUGUGAUGACUCAAACUCUUUUCGUUCUUAAUGAUUUCUAUUUGUUAAAUCUAUGAACACGCCAUUCUAGAUUGCAUGUUAGGGACUAAGUUAAUUUGAAAAUGCCAUUCUCUUAACAUACUACAUAAGAAAGAGUAAUAGGUUGAGUUCUAACAUUCAGCCAACUUGAGCAUCAUCAUCCGUAAAUAAAAGGAAUUUGAAUGAAACAUAACAUGUUUGCAUGAUUAUUUGGUGGUGCAUAGCAAUUCUCCUAACUCAUUUUUCUUAAUUUGUAAACUACUUAAAAUUUGUUUUUGUCCUGUUUUUGUUCAAUUUAAUUUAAAUAGCAAAUCAACUCCAAAAAUCCCAAAAAUUUGUAGAAGUGUAGCUCUGUGUGUCUAGUGUCUUCAUAUAAAAUUUCCUAGAAUUUAGGUAAGUGUAAGUUGGUCUAAUAAUUAUUUUUCGAUGGCUGGUCAGUAGGGACAGCAACCAGUUUUUGUGACAUUUUAAGUAGUUAGAUAAAACAAUCUUCUGCAGCAAAAGACCCUUAUUUUCAUAUGCUACAAUUGACAAAUCUUAGUGUUAAUGAGGAAAAUCAAUAGGACAUUUGUGUGCUACUUUGUGGUGUGCUUUUAAUCUUAUCACUUGUCUCUAUCUAUUUACAUACUUAUCCACACUAGUGACCGGAGCAAUCUAGCGAAGGUCACAAACUUAACACUUUCUGUUGUACCAAAGUCUUCACUGAUUUUGUGCAUGAACAAUGUUCAUAUUACUGAUGUGAAAAUUAACUUAACACGAAAAUUUAACCCUCUUUUGACAACUGUAGUAUAAGUAUAAGUAGGGAUCGUUCUGGACCGGGGAUUAGGAGAGCUUGCUAAUAACCUCUAAACUGACUCAAAAAUAAAAAAGCUAAACUUAAAAAUACUUAACAAGACUCACAAGACUCAAAGCAAACUUAAAAUACUCAAAACAGCUUAAAACAACUAAAUAAACUUAAACUAGACACUAGGAAUGACUUUGGAUGAAAAUUGAUUUUUACUUGAAUCAAAACAUUUAAAAACACAAAUUAAAACAGAUUCUAACUAAUUAGAUACACUCAAGUAAAGGGGGAUUGAGUUUUGGACGAAGUUGAAACAAACAAACAAGUAUGAAAAACUAGACAGAUUGUAAAACAAAUUUGAGAAAUAAGAUGAUGGAUGGGAUAGCUAGAGGCUUUUUCUCCACACGUGACCUGUAUGCAAAUAACUUGAUUUCCAGUUACUUCUUCAUUAAAUUAUGAACGACAAUGCUCCAAAUUAACCGUGACAUCACUAGUUAACUCUCAGAUUUUCCUUGUUUUAUUGGAUUGGAUGGCAUCAUUCUACAACCCAAAACAUUCUUCAAAAGUUCCCCACAUGACAUCAUAAUAGAGAUACAAUCAAAGAUCAUUACGUUUAAUGAAAAUCAUAAGCAUUGACAAAGCACUUGCAACUAUGACAUCAUGUCGCUUAUGCUAGGAAUUGAACUUAGCGCGAUUGUUUAUAAGCGACCUUCACUACAUGUGAAUAUAAGUUUGUAACAAUUAUGUGAAACUUCCUUACAUUCUAGCAACGGAUUUAUGCAUGCCAAUUAAGUGUCGACCCUUAAUUAACAAAUACAAAUAAGUUAUCAAUCAAAUAGUUAAGCCAAUUGCAUUCACGAUUCAAGAGUUCAUAACUGGAAUUUAUCAAAUUAUAUUGCACACAUAAUCAUGGCUUUGAAAUCACCCCUAGCCAAGAGGGGUUUAGCCACUCAUAUUUACAACAAAAUGAAAGGAAAUGAAUUUAAACAUUAGAAAAAAAAGAAAGAAAACACCUAAACGCUCCAACGAUCCAAGUUGGACAGCAAGCACGUCCAAGCACUUUCCUUCCCUUCCUUUGCUACGGCACAAGGUGUUGGUGAGUGUUUGAAGGUUUGUUUGUAUGGAGGAAUGGAUGUGAAGAUGAAUGGAUGCGUUUGGAUGAAGGUUGUGUUGAAAUGGGAGUGAAUGAUCUAACUAAGUAUGAACUAAAUUUAUGUUACUCACACUUCCUUUUAUAGAGGAAGUGCAUGGCAAUGGGAGCAUGGAGUGGUAUAGCAAUUGAGUGCAAUGAUUCAAUGUAAUGAUGCAUGAAAUCUGAAAUGAUGGAGGGAACAAGGAAUGGUGUAGCAAUUAAGUGCAAUGAUUCAAUGUAAUGAUGCAUGAAUCUGAAAUGAUGGAGGAAACAAGGAAUGGUGUAGCAAUUGAGUGCAAUGAGUGGUGUUUGAAAUGAUUCAAAGGUGAAAGUGAAGUGAUGAUGCAAAGCAUGGGGGUAAAAUGGAGUGAUGUUGCAGCUAGAGAACAUGAAUGAUUGUGCACAUGGUAGAGAAAGGAAAGGGAGGUGGAAUGAUGCAACAAAGGAGUCAAUGGAGGGAACAUGGAUGAUGAUGCAUGGCAUAGGAAUCCAAAGGGAGUGCAAUGGUGGUGCACGUCAAUGAUGGAAAGGUGAAUGGUGGAGUGACACCCCUUUGUGGCUGAGAUCUUUGUUCUUUUUACAUUAAUUCUUCUUUCUCUUUAACACAUUCCUAGCCUCUUUAGUCUUCAAUUUCGUCCAUCCACCUUGCUCCAUGCAUGUGCUAUUCAUUCCAAGCCCAAAACUGCUCCAAAAUGCACCAAAAUGCAACUUAUUGCUUCAUAAGGCCUAUGGACCUACAAACACACGAAAAUAGCUUAAAAUACAUAAUUAACUAAGAAAUAACAACAUAAAUGCAUGAGAACAAGCUAACUCAGUCGUUUAAAUAUGCUCCUAUCAAUUACCCAUAUUAAUUUAAAAAUCUGCACUUCGGACUCUUUUCAUUCAAUUCAAGGUCUAAAAGUUUCGUAUUCUUUUUAUUUUUGGUAGAGAUGAUCUUUAUGGGAUGACCAAUGAGAAGUUCAGUUGGAUUUUAGAAACAUAACUCGCAGACCCAUAAAGUGAGAUUAUGUUCUCAAUAGCUGUGUUAAUUCGAAAAUCUGUAUUUUGGGCACUUUUCUUUUAAUUAAGAGUCUAAAAGUUUCGUAUUCUUUUUAUUAUUGGAAAAGAUCUUUCAGUGACGACCAAGGAGAUGUACUGUUGGAUUUUCAAAACAUAACUUGUAGACCCAUAAAGUGGGAUUAUGUUCUCAUUACCCGUGUUAAUUUGAAAAUCUAUAUUUCGCGCAAUUUUCUUUUAAUUCAAGAUUCUAAAAGUUUUGUAUUCUUUAUUUUUGGCAGAGAUUAUCUUUAAGGGAUGACCUAUGUGAUGUACAGUUGGAUUUUCAAACAUAACUCGUAGACCCAUAAAGUGGGAUGAUGUUCUUAUUACCCGUAUUUAUUCGAAAAUCUGUUUUUUGGGUUCUAUUCUUUCAAUUCAAGAGCGUAAAUGUUUCGUAUUCUUUUCAUGUUUGGCAUAGAUGAUAUUUAUAAGAUGACCGAUGAGAUGUACAAUUGGAUUUUCGAAACAUAAUUGUAGACCCAUAAAGUGGGAUGAUGCUGACAUUAACCUUGUUAAUAAGGAAAUCUUUAUUUUGUGCUCUUUUCUUUCAAUUCAAGAGCCUAAAAGUUUCGUACUCUUUUUAUUUUUGGCAGAGAUGACCUUUAAGUGAUGACCUAUGAUAUGUACAGUUUGAUUUUCGAAACAUAACUCCUAGACCCAUAAAGUGGGAUAAUGUUCUCAAUACCCGUAUUAAUUCAAAAAUCUGUAUUUCGUGCUCUUUUCUUUCAAUGCAAGAGUCUAUAAGUUUUGUAUUCUUUUCUUUUUUGGUAGAGAUGAUCUUCAAGGGAUGACCUAGGAGAUGUACAAUUCGAAUUUGGAAACAUAACUCGUAGUCCCAAAUGGGAUGAUGUUCUCAUUACUCGUAUUAAUUCGAAAAUCUAUACUUUGGGCUCUUUUCUUUCAAUUCAAGUGCCUAAAUGUUUUGUAUUCUUUUCAUUUUUUGUAGAGAUGAUCUUUGAGGGAUGACAUAUGAGAUGUGCAGUUGGAUUUUCAAAACAUAACUUGUAGACCAAAAAAGUGGGAUCAUGUUCUCAUUAUUUGUAUUAAUUCGAAAAUUUGUAUUUUGGGCUAUUUUCUUUCAAUUCAAGAGCCUAAAUGUUUCAUAUUCUUUAAGUGAUGACCUAGAAGGGAUGACCUAUGAGAUGUAUAUUUGUAUGAGAUGUAGAAGGGAUGACCUAUGAGAUGUAUAUUUGUAUUUUGGGCUAUUUUUUUUUUUUGGCAAAGAUGAUCUAGAAGGGAUGACCUAUGAGAUGUAUAUUUGUAUUUUCAAAACAUAACUAGUAGACCCAUAAAGUGGGAUGAUGUUCUCAUUACCCGUGUUAAUUAGAAAAUCUUUAUUUUGGGCUCUUUUCUUUCAAAUCAAGAGUCUAAAAGUUUCGUAUUCUUUUUAUUUUUGGUAGCGAUGAUCUUUAAGUGAUGACCUAUGACACGUACGAUUGGAUUUUCGAAACAUAACUCGUAGACCCAUAAAGUGGUAUGAUGUUCUCAUUACCCGUAUUAAUUUGAAAAUCUAUUUUUCAGGCCCUUUUCUUUCAAUUCAAGAGCCUAAAUGUUUCAUAUUCUUUUGAUUUUUGGCAGAGAUAAUAUUUAUAGGAUGACAUAUGAGAUGUACAGUUAGAUUUUUGAAACAUAACUCGUUGACCUAUAAAGUAGGAUUAUGUUCUCAUUACCCGUGUUAAUUAGAAAAUUUGUAUUUUGGCCUCGUUUCUUUCAAUUCCAGAGUCCAAAAGUUUCGAAUUCUAUUUUUUUUUGUUUGGCAGAGAUGAUCUUCAAGGGAUGACCUAUGGAUGUAUAGUUAGAUAUUCGAAACAUAACUCGUAGACACAUAAAGUAGGAUGAUGUUCUCAUUACCCGUAUUAAUUCAAAAAUCUGUAUUUCGGGCUCUUUUCUUUCUAUUCAAGGGUUUAAAAAUUUCUUAUUACUUUUAUUUUAGGCAAAGAUGAUCUUUAAGCAAUGACCUAUGAGUUAUACAGUUGUAUUUUCGAAACAUAACUUGUAGACCCAUAAAGUGGGAUUAUGUUCUCAUUACCCGUGUUAAUUUGAAAAUUUGUUUUUUGUUAUUUUUUCUUGCAAUGCAUAAGCCUAAAUGUUUUGUAUUCUUUCCAAUUUUGGUAGAGAUGAUCUCUAUAGGAUGACCUAUGAGAUGUACAGUUGGAUUUUCGAAACAUGACUCGUAGACCCAUAAAGUGGGAUCAUGUUCUCAUUACUUGUAUUAAUUCGACAAUUUGUAUUUCGUACUCUUUUCUUUCAAUUCAAGAGCCUAAAAGUUUCGUAUUCUUUGUAUUUUUGGCAGAGAUGAUCUUUAAGGGAUGACCUAUGAGAUAUAUGGUUGAAUUUUUGAAACAUAACUUGUAGACCCAUAAAGUGGGAUGAUGUUCCCAUUACCUGUCUUAAUUUGAAAAUCUGUAUUUUGGCACUUUUCCUUUCAAUUCAAGAGCCUAAAAGUUUCGUAUUCCUUUUAUUUUCUGCAGAGAUGAUCUUUAAAGGACGACCUAUGAUAUGUAUUGUUGGAUUUUCAAAACAUAACUUGUUGACGCAUAAAGUGGGAUGAUGCUCUCAUUACCCGUAUUAAUUCAAAAAUCAGUAUUUUGGGCACUUUUCUUUCAAUUCAAGAGCCUAAAAGUUUCGUAUUCCUUUUAUUUUCGGCAGAGAUGAUCUUUAAGGGAUGACCUAUGAUAUUUAUUGUUGGAUUUUCGAAACAUAAACCGUAGACCCAUAAAGUGGGAUGAUGAUCUCAUUACCCGUAUUAAUUCAAAAAUAUGUAUUUCGAGCUCUUUUCUUUCAAUUCUAGAGCCCAAUUGUUUCGCAUUUUUUUUUGGUAGAGAUGAUCUUGAAGGGAUGACCUAUGAGAUGUGAUAGGAGCAUAUUUAGGCGACCUUGUUAUCUUAUUACUUUGCAUUUACUUAGUUAAUUUCCAUUUAUUUUGGUAAUUUAAGUUAUUUUCGUAUUAUUGUUGGUCCAAUUGGUAAAGAUGACAAUAAAUAGCCAAAUGGAGCAAUUGAGAGCAGUUUUCUACUUGGAUUGGAUAACAUGCGUGGAUAGCAUAUGGGUUGGACGGUUUUGGUGUUUAAAUGGUCCUAGAUAUGUGCUAAAAUCUAGAGAAAUUAAAGUUUUGGCUUGGAAGACAAGGACUUACACAAGAAAGAGGAAUUCUAGUUGGAGAGGAACAUUAUCAUAUCCUAUCUUAUCGUAUCUUAUCAUAUCUUAUCCUAUCUUAUCCUAUCCUAUCUUAUCCAACAUUAUCUUAUCUUAAGUUGCAAGGAGGAAUCCUAAUCACAUUCCAACAUUUUCUACUUGAUUCUUAGAGUCCUAAAAUAACUCAAACCACCUAAUCCCUUUCCUCCUUGGAUUUAGCCAUUUCCCCUAUAUAUAUGAAAUUCCAGCAGUGAUUUAGGGUGUGCCAUGCCUACCAUUCAUCCAUUGAAGCUGCUGAAAUUUUCAGAGUUUUUUUUGUUUUUGUUUUAAGUUUCAAUGUUUAUUUUAGAUUGUUUUUCAGUUAUGAUGAACAUGUAUAACUAAGUUUCUUUUUAGCUAGAGAUGAAUUCGAAGCCAUGAUCAUAUGUUUUAUAUAAAUUAAUUGCAUCCAGUUAUUGUUCCAUAAGACAUGAAUGUGAUUUACUUAUCUGCUUUAUAGAGAACUUAUUCUUGUAUGUUUAUUAAGGAUGCAUACGUAGUUUGCAUGCAGGGAUUUGAUGCCAAAAUAUAAGGGAAUUUCACCUAAUCGUUAUGAACUUAUAUUUGUAAGUAGUAAAAGUCACUAGUCAUGAUUGAGUUAAGUAGAUUCUUGGCAGGAGUAUUGUCACAUCCCGGCCCAGGCCCCCACCACAUCUCGGGCUCAACUCCACCGUAGCACGAUAUUGUCCGCUUUAGGCCCCGACCAUGCCCUCACGGUUUUGUUUCUAGGAACUCACACGAGAACUUCCCAGUGGAUCACCCAUCAUGGGAUUGCUCUCGCGUGAACUAGCUUAACUUCAGAGUUUCGAUGGAAAUCAAAGCCAGUGAGCUCCCAAAAGACCUCAUGCUAGUUAGAGAUGGGAAUAUACAUAUAAGGUUUACAUGAUCCAUUUCCCUGGGCGAUGUGGGAUGUUACAAGUAUCAUGCUUUUCAUAGUUACAAAUGCUUUGACAAUGCUUAUGAUUUUCACAUAACUUAAUGAUCUUUGAGAUCUAUCUCUAUCAUGAUUUUCAUAGUUAGGGAACUUGAGAAGAAUAAUUUGGUUGCGUCGCUUAGUCCAAUUCAAUGAAUUUAGGAAAAUCUGAGAGUUAAUUAGUGUUGUUCAUAUUUAAUUUGGGACAUUGUCAUUCAUGGUUUAUAGGAAGAAUAACUGGAAAUCGAUUUGUAUGGAUAUGUUUCAUGUGUGGAGAAGAAUCCUUUAGCAUCCAUCUUUCAUUCACAACUUAAUUUACUUGCUACCAUUUACUUUUUCUUUAAUUAAAUUUGUCCAAAAUCCCUUCAGUCAUUGUUUUGAUGUUAAUUUAACUUAGUUUUCAAUUUAAUAAGUUUAAUUUGUGUUGAUUAGUAUCCCUUCUAAUCCCCGAAAUAGAACUAUCCCUACUUACUCAUACUACGAUUACAUAAUUUAUAGGGAUUAAUUUGUGUGUUAGUUUCUUGUCGAGGAUUAGUAAAAUUGCUAAUCACUCUAUGUUUUGUUUAUUUUUCUUUUGAUAUUUGAUUUAGUUUUAUUUCUUUGAUUUCAGGUACUAGAGAAGCAAGACAAGGCAAUUGCUAAUCUUAAAGCUCAAAUGGCGAGUCUUACUUCUCUUAUGUCGCAGUAUAUCGAAAGGUCCACAAUGCAAAGUGUCCCCACAUUUGGUGUGUCCUAUAGGCAAGGAUAUCAAAUUAAUUAACAUCCUCAAUUAAUUGAGAAUGGAGGUUGGGAUAGUGUCAAUGCUUGGGGUUACAAAGGCCAUAAUCAAUCAAGGAAUGACUUGUUUUCCAACACUUACAAUCCAGGUGGUGAGAUCAUUCAAAUUUUAUUUAGACUGUGCCAUGUGUACCAUUCAUUCAUUAAAGUUGCUAGAAUUUUUAGAGUUCUUUCUAUCUUUGUUUUAAGUUUCAAUGUUUACUGUAGAUUGCUUUUCAGUUAUGAUGAACAUGUGUAACUAAGUUUCUUUUUAGCUAGAGGUGAAUUUGAAGACAUGAUCAUAUGUUUUAUAUAAAUUGAUUACAUCCAGUUAUUGUUCCAUAAGACAUCAAUGCAAUUUACUUAUCUGCUUUAUAGAGAACUUAUUCUUGUAUGUUUAUUAAGGAUGCAUACUUAGUUUGCAUGCAGGGAUUUGAUGCUAGAAUAUAAGGGAAUUUCACCUAAUCGUUAUGAACUUAUAUUUGUAAGUAGUAAAAAUCACUAGUCAUGAUUGAGUUAAGUAAAUUCUUGGCAGGAGUAUCAUACUUUUCAUAGUUACGAAUGCUUUGUCAAUGCUUAUGAUUUUCACAUAACUUAAUGAUCUUUGAGAUGUAUCUUUAUUAUGCUUUUCGUAGUUAGGGAACUUGAGAAGAAUAAUUUGGUUGCAUCGUUGAGUCCAAUUCAAUGAACUUAGGAAAAUUUGAGAGUUAAUUAGUGUUGUUCACAGUUAAUUAGGGGCAUUGUCAUUCAUGGUUUAUAGGAAGAAUAAAUAGAAAUCAAUUUGUAUGCAUAUGUUUCAUGUGUGGAGAAGAAUCCUUUAGCUAUCCUUUCAUCCAUAUUUCAUUCACGACUUAAUUUACUACUACCAUUUAGUUUUGUUUUAAUUAAAUUCGUCCAAAAUCCUCCUAGUCAUUGUUUUUGUUGAUGCACAAAACCGGAGGUCUUGGAACAACGUAAAUCCGACCGUGAAUCUAAGAAAUUUAAAUAACACAAGAUGUAUCGUGGUUCGCCCCAAGGUUUGGGCUACGUCCACACUGAUAUUGUAUUUUUGAGAAGAUUGUGAGGGAGAGAGAGAGCCUCUGUAAUGAAUAUGAAAGGCUUUGAGAGUGAGAGCUUGAGGAGGUGAGGAGGCUUAGGAAUUGGCCUCCCCCAUUGUGAGGGUGAGGAGUCCCUUUUAUAGAAUAAGAGCUCCUCACUUAUUACAUAUUUGCCCCUUCCUUUAUUACAUAACUAUAUUUGAGUCCCCCGAGUAUUUAUACGAGAUCUAAAUACGGAGGCCCUAAGUAUGGUACAAACAGUAGUCCUCCAAGUCUUCAGUCAAGAGAGUCUUUUGGCUGGAGACUUGAAAUUCAGUCCAUGUGUGGGCCAAAGUAACUAGAUGUCGUCUAGAACUGAAUACUCGAUAUGAGCCGGUGCUCAAUCUGAAAUGAUGCUCAACUAGAAGUAGCACAUGUUGCGAGGCUGCUCGGCUUGUGGCUUAUGUUGCCUUGGUUGGCUAGGCUUGUGGCGUUGAAGGUGAGGGAGUUUCUUUUAUAGAAUAAGGGCUCGCUCCUCAAUACAUAAAUGAUGGGCUAGAGUUGAUGCUCACGGCGAGGCGGUUGCUCAGUAGGCAGCGAUGCUCUCUAAUGAAGGUGAUGGAGUCCCUUUUAUAAAAUAAGGGCUCUCUCCUUAGUACAUGAAUAAUGGGUUAGGAGUGAUGCUCGCAGCGAGACGGUUGCUCAGCUAGUGACGAUGCUCUCUAACGAAGAGGGGGGAGUCCCUUUUAUAAAAUAAGGGCUCGCUCCUUAGUACAUAAACGAUGGGUUCUUUCUAAUGAAAGUGAGGGAGUCCCUUUUAUAGAAUAAGGGCUCGCUCCUCAAUACAUAAGUGAUAGGCUAAGUCCCCCAAGUAUUUUUUCAUGAGGCCCAGUUAAGGCCCAAUAUAUGGUACAUAUUGUAGUCCCCUUAGUCUUCGGUCAAUAGAGUUUGUUGGCUGGAGACUUCAAAUUGAACCCAUGUAUGGGCUGAAAUGGCGGUUGUUCAGAGACGGUAUUUGUAUACCCUGCACUUAAGCUUUGUAGGUGAAGCUUUGAACUUUGAAGCUGGAGCUCUGUAAAUGAAGCUGGAUCUCUGUAAAUGAAGCUUUUGAAGCUAGAGCUUUUUGUAAAUGAAGCUUUCGAAGCUAGAGCUCUGUAAAUGAAGCUUUUGAAGGGCAAACAGAAGAAAUGAGCAUGAUGAGCAGGAGGGCAAACAGAAGUUUUCUAGGAUUUGCUGCUGCUUGCAUUUAAUUAGAUCUUGCCCAUCCCCAACAGAAUUCCUUCGGACACCAUCACAGCGAGAGAGAGAGAGCUAAAGCUUAAGAAACAGUAGCAAUUACAAAGAUGGAGAAAUCAGAUCAGAUCUCUGGAUAUUGGUACUGGGAAGGACCCAAACGUGUAUGCUUCCAAGUGGCUGUGAGUUUGGUACUGCAGCGGUGUAAUGGUAUGAUGGGUUUUGCAGUGACUGUGCAGGUGUUUGGUUCUUGGUUUCUGCAAAUUCAUGGCGGAGGUGAAAAAUUGAGAGAGAACCGACAUAACUUUUCGUGUCGAUUUCCCACAGACGGCGCCAAAUGUUGAUGCACAAAACCGGAGGUCUUGGAACAAUGUAAAUCCGACCGUGAAUCUGCAUGAAAUGUAAAUGACACAAGAUGUAUCGUGGUUCACCCCAAGGUUUGGGCUACGUCCACACUGACUGUAUUGUAUUUCUCUUAGAAGUGAGGGAGGGGGUGAGAGCUUUUAAGAGCUUCUGAGGGUGAGAGAGGGGAUCUCAGGCCUAUGAAUUGGCCUUUUAUCAUUGUGAAGGUGAGGGGUCAUUUUAUAGAAUAAGGACUCAUCACUUAUUACAUAUUUGCCCCUUCUUUUCUCACAUAAUUACAUUGAAGUCCCUCGAGUAUUUGUACGAGAUCUAAAUAUGAGGCCCUAAAUAUGGUAUAAACAGUGUUGAUGCAUAAAACCGGAGGUCUUGGAACAACGUAAAUCCGACCGUGAUUCUGCAGGAAAUGUAAAUGACACAAGAUAUAUUAUGGUUCACCCCAAGGUUUGGGCUACGUUCACACUGAUUGUAUUGUAUUUCUCUGAGAAGUGAGGGAGGGGGUGAGAGCUUCUGAGAGCUUCUGAGGGUGAGAGAGAGGAUCUCGGGCCUAGGAAUUGGCCUUUUUUCAUUGUGAGGGUGAGGGAUCCUUUGAUAGAAUAAGGACUCCUUACUUAUUACAUGUUUGCCCCUUCCUUUAUCACAUAAUUACAUUUAAGUCCCUCGAGUAUUUGUACGAGAUCUAAACACGAGGCCCUAAAUAUGGUAUAAAUAGUAGUCCCCCAAGUUUUUAGUCAAGAGAGUCUUUUGGCUGGAGACUUGAAAUUCCGUCCAUGUGUAGGCCGAAGUAACUAGAUGUUGUCUUGAACUGAUGUUCGAUGUGAGGCGGUGCUCAAUCUGAAAUGAUGCUCAAUCUAGAAGUAGCACAUGCUGCGAGGUUGCUCGGCUCGUGGCUUACGUUGCCUUGGUUGGCUCGGCUUGUGGCGUUGAAGGUGAGGGAGUCCCUUUUAUAGAAUAAAGGCUCUCUCCUCAAUACAUAAAUAAUGGGCUAGAGUUGAUGCUCACGGCGAGACGGUUGCUCAGUAGGCGACGAUGCUCUCUAAUGGUGGUGAGAGAGUCCCUUUUAUAAAAUAAGGGCUCGCUCCUCAAUACGUGAAUAAUGUGCUAGAGUUGAUGCUCUCUAAUGAAAGUGAGGAAGUCCCUUUUAUAAAAUAACGGUUCGCUCCUCAAUACAUAAAUAAUGGGCCAAGUCCCCCAAGUAUUUUUCAUGAGGCCCAGUUGAGGCCCAAUAUAUGGUACAUAAUGUAGUCCCCCAAGUCUUCGAUCAAUAGAGGCUGUUAGCUGGAAACUUCAAAUUGAAUCCAUGUAUGGGCCGAAGUGGUGGUUGUUCGGAGGCAGUAUUUGUAUACCCUGCAUUGAAGCUUUGUAGGUGAAGCUUUGCUAGUGAAGCUUUGAAGCUAGAGCUCUGUAAAUGAAGCUUUUGAAGCUAGAGCUUUUGUAAAUGAAGCUUUUGAAGAUGUAGCUCUGUAACUGAAGCUUUCGAAGCUAGAGCUUUUGUAAAUGAAGCUUUUGAAGCUGAUUGACAUGAGUGAUGCUCAUGAAUGUUUGAUUGACAUGAGUGAUUCUCAUAGAUGUUUGUUUGACAUGAGUGAUGCUCAUGGAUGUUUGUUUGACAUGAGUGAUGCUCAUGGAUGUUGACAAGAGUGAUGCUCAUGAAUGUGGACGUGAGUGAUGCUCAUGAAUGUUUAUGUAUGAUUGAUAUGAGUGAUGCUCGUGAAUGUUUAUGUAUGAUUGACAUGAGUAAUGCUCAUGUAUAAUUUGAAGUACUGGGCGUACUUUCGAUAACUUGGUUGGUGGCAUGAAUGAGAGUACAGGUUGUACAUUUUGUCACCUGGUUGGUGGCAUGAAUGGCUAGUUGCCAAAUGAUAUUAGAGUACGGGUUGUACAUUUCAUCACCUAGUUGGUGGUAAUAGCGGCAAGUUGCCGAAUAAUUUUUGGAGUACUGGGUGUACUUUUGAUCACCUGGUUGGUGGUAAUAGUGGCUGGUUGCUGAAUAAUUGUGGAGUACUGGGUGUACUUUUGGUCACCUGGUUGGUGAUAAUAAAGGGUCUCGCUCUUGUGGGCAUAUGGACCUUCGCCCUCCACAUGACAUUGCAGCCCAUUAUUUUGGCCCUUUUUUUUUUGUUUUACCCUCUGAUGGGGUUUAUACAGAUGUUUCCAAAAGAUAAGGAAAAUAAAUUACAUCAUUCUGGUGGGGUGUUUAUUUCGUUUUUCUCUUUUGCUUUCUCUUUUUCUUUCGUUUUCUAUUUUGCCUUUGCUUUUGCAUGGUCCACAAGUCCCCCAUAUGCUGGUUGAUGAUUUUCUUGCUUGUCCCGCCUCACAUGAUUUUCUUGCUUGACACUAAAAUGACAGUUGCUUUUCUGCCAUGCCAUGCAGUUAGGUUUCCCUUUUUGCUUUUACUUUUGCUUUUUUCUGAAAUAUUUUGUGGUAAUAAUUGCAGCUAAAGUGACAGCUGCUUUCUGUAUAUCGGUGAGAACACCGAUAGACUCAACAACACAGUCAGCACCGGCCUCACCCUAUGGGAUCUCAUCUGGGUUCCUAAUUCUGAAAACAGCAACAAGCUUCUCACAGAAGAGGAGGGUCUUGGAGUCCCUGACCUUGAGCUCAUGGUGCUUCCAUGCGCCAUGGACUGUGUUGUACUUGAACAUGUAGGUCGUGUAGUCUGUAGUAAUGAAGGGAUCUUUGACAGCAACAAGUUUCGACCCCGUCUUGAGCCUCUUGCUUGUGACCCAUCUGCCCCGUCGCCUGUCCACGUAGUCUUGUUCCUUCAACGUCUUCUUAUAACUGCUCGAAGAUCCAUCGUAUCGGUUGUUGUACGAGGAUCUCACUCGGGUCUGAACUUUAUUGGACACGCUCAUCUAUCUGUUGUUGGUCGAGGCGCGCCUCCCGCCACAGCCACCAUGGGUGUUCAUCUGCGUGCUGUCGGUCGAAGGUGCCGCCACAGUGUAGCCAUUAGGAAACACGUUCUUCGAUGCGCUGUUGGUCGAGGGCGUCAUCAUGGAGUAGCCAGCACAAGCUGCUCGUAGGCCUCGAGGUAGCCACUAAAGGCAGUUUCAGGUUGGUUGCAGUAGGCCAUCAUGCGAGAGGUUCAAAUUGACCGGCCUGCAGUGGCCGGAGCAGCUUCGAAGAUAGGGAAAUUAACGCUGAAGACGACGAAGAUGGAGACUACUGGUCGGAGACAUUUGUAGAGGAACCGACCAUGUUUAGUCCAACUGCACCUUGUGAUCACCCCCACCCGUGGCAAGCUUAAGUCUACCAGGUUGAACGUCAAUGGAGAAAAUUUGCAUUCCCACAUGUCUAAUCCAACUGGGCUUCUCUGAAAUCAUCUUUGCUACUUAUUUCCAGAACCUAACAAAACAAUACCACCUUUGUGUCAAAAAAGAGGCCAUUUCUUUGAGCGCGUUAACAGAGAUUGAAAAGAUAUUGAGAGAUUGUUGUGUAAGCGAGCCGAGGCAGCGACAUAUGGAUGGAAGCUGUGCAUCAUCUCUUGGUGUUUUGAGAUUUAGCCAUGAGAGAAAGAUUUGUCAUUGUCGUCGUGCAGCAGGAGAUCGCAGAGGGAAAGGCCAUCUUCUUCAACUUCUUGCUGCUGAAAAUCUAAGAAAGUUUCCAUCUUUGUGAUCUGGGUAAUGGUGCGAUUGAUUUAUUUAUGUUACUGGUUGCGUUUGGUAGUGGUUUUUGUAUCCAGAAGCUUUGAAAUUUGCAUAUGGUAGUGGUUUUUUUGGGUUGUGCAGAUUCACGGCAGAGGUGAAAAAAUGAAAGAGAACCGACACAACUUUUCGUAUCGUUUCCCACAGACGGCGCCAAAUGUUGAUGCACAAAACCGGAGGUCUUGGAACAACGUAAAUCCGACCAUGAAUCUGCAAGAAAUGUAAAUAACACAAGAUGUAUCGUGGUUUACCCCAAGGUUUGGGCUACGUCCACACUGAU